rnacentral:lncRNA from 1 species
GUUCUUCUGAGUGAUGGAAUUGCAUAUUGUAAAUCAAUCUCCACUUGUACAAAGGAUGAGCAAAUCUUUUGCUUAUUCUUGUCUACUUUUUUUUUUUUGGUCAAAAUGAAUAGGAAUAGCAGGUUCCUUUAAAGUGCAAGUAUAAUGGAAAGAGUUGGUAAAUUUUAAUAUACUUCUGAAAGAAUCAUCAUCCUUGUGUCAUUAUCUUUUUCAUGUAUUGAACAACAGAUUUGCACAUGUAUUUUUACCAUCUUUAACAGCUCUUUAUUAACGGAUAGUAUAUGGUUUUGCUUUUAUGUAGGGGGAUGUUGAGUUGUAAGAAGACCAGAUGCAUCUGCUCUGAUUUUAGAGGCAUGUAUAACCUGUCAAAGAGCAGCAAAAGAAAUGCAUCAUAGCUGUGUGAUACAUAACUUUGCCAGGAGAGAUCUCUCUAUUUAAGCACACAGACUGCUAUGGCAUUGUUAACCAUUUGCUCAGUUGCUCUUAAAUGCAUUUCUGCUGGCAGAAGAUGGUAGCAUGGUGGAGGUUCUGUUGUUAAACCCGGUAUCAGGACUUGAUCAAGCAAUUUGGUAUGUUCGGUGAAAAUUCAUGCACAUUUGAGCGAUCGUACAGUACUCCGAAGUUGGUGUUUUCUAUCCUCCGGUAAUUGUGGAUCACUGGUAUAAUGAGGAAAUCAACCUAACGUAUAAUUGCCAUGGUCUAUAUUUGUGUGUAUGUGGAGACUGGUGUGUGUACUAAUUUUCUGGAAUGUCAUUUAGUCAGAAGAGUUGUUUAGAAGAGGCAUAGGCAAAUUCUCUUGUAAGGCUUUUGUAGUUCCUUGAGAGUUUAACAUGGUUAUAACAUUAGUGCGCCGGCCGUCCUCGGCCAGGAUCUGGUCGGCAUAGCUUGUGGUUGUUGGGCACUUGGGGUUUGGGGUUUGAAAGACAGUGUCGUUGAUGUGCUUUGAGUUCCUGCUUAAUUGAGUUAUGCUGACUUUGUUAGUAUCCACAUCUUCAGAUACUAUUCCCAUAAUCCCUAAAAAACCAGCAGUUGCGUUGCGUGGUAGCUAGGUUAUGUAAAGCGCAUUCCUGUGAUGAAAAAUAGACCCUGGGAUGUAUCAAGCGAUCCACACACUAGCUAUGUCCCCCAAUAGGGACAAUUAAUAGAAAAAGGUGGAAAGAUGGUGAUAGGGAAAGACGACAAAAUGGAAGUAUUAACCAAAAGAUCAAAGAAGUAUUAGCCAAAAGAUCAAGACGGGGAUAGAGAAAUGUGGAACAUAUUAGCCACCAAUCGCAGUCCACAUUUCGACGACGAGAGACCUGGCUGCCCUUCUACCACCAGUUCACAUUCCCCCAAAGCAUUUCCAGGUCUUUUACCUCCUCUGCUUUUGGAAUCUUUGGAAUCACAGGCAUGGAGUGGUUUUAAGAAAUGAAGCUCUGUCUCUUCAUAGAUUGUUGACGAAUUGCAUUAAAAAUGUGACUCUUUGGGCGGAACGUAUUAAGCUCGAUGAUAGAGUUGUAAUUUCUUCCUAGAAAGAUCUUUUCUCCUCCUCACUCAGAACUCUAAACAUGUACUCCCUCCGUCCCAUAAAAAACAAAUCAGUACUGAUAUAUUCUAGUACGAUGAAUCUACAUAUGUAUGUCCAGAUUCGUAAUAGUACUAGGUUGGUUUUUAUGGGAUGGAGAGAGUAAUAAUGAUCUAAGAGUUUUACUCCCGUCGGCGUCCGGCAGCCUGUACCAGACGGUACUAGUACCGGGAGGUACAAGAUCAAAUCUGGCCGUCCAUCUUGAAAUGAUACGAUUGGGAAACAGAAAAGAGAAGCGGAACGAUUCCAGAGUCACGCCGCCGCUUUCCUCCCUAGCUGCGCUCUUUCUUUCCUCCCUCCCCGCAUCGCUUCUUUCUCAUCUAUUCCUCCCUCCGAGCGCAGAAACGGAGCAGUUGCGCCGCAUCCACGCCCCGCUGGACGAUUUUUUCCCAUCCAUCUACCGUCCGCGCCGCGGUGCUGGAGAAACGGCGCGCUCGCCCCGCAUCCACGCCUCCGCCAGUGCCCAUUUUUUCCCCAUCCAUCUGCUGUCCGCGGCAGCGAAGCCACCGACGCGCUCCGUCACCAGCAACGCCGCCGCAUUCACGAGCGAAGGUGCCGUGGUAUUCUGUGUCCCCUAUCCCCCCCCCUCGACGGCUCAAGCAAGUACCUAACCUCCCCCGCUGCCAUCGGCGCAGCCUAGGCCCCCAUUACGGCUCAAACACUGCUCCACUAUAUGGUCUAGUUAUUUUGUAAUGAACAAUUCAAUCUGCCAUGUUUCUUGUAAUGAAUUUGUGAGAAAAGCACAAGCUUUUGCUGGAGACUUUAAUCUUUGAAUGGAAAAUUUUAAGCUCAUCUGUCGUCUGUUUUUUUUAUGCUGUUUACAGGGCAUGAUCUAUCGUUGAAUGGAGCUUUUGACAUAAUUUUUGUCUGCUGUGAACAGAGCAUGAUAUAUAUGUCGUAUUGAGAGCCAUUAAUAUUUUGUCUGCUGUUUUUGCUCGAUCUCCUGUAAAAUACAUGUCAUUCUGCGGAGUGAUCAGCAGCACAACAAUGGUUACAAACAAGUGUUUUCAAUGAACAGCAAUCCAGCUAGAGAUCUAAAAGUUGAGGAAUCACUGGAGUAAAGUGCUAGACACAUGGGCAAUAAUUGCUGAAAAAAAGUAUAAUUUACAUGAUUCUGAAAGACUGAAACAAACAUACUCGUACUAGUGAGCUGUAAUUCAGAGUUUCAGACAGUGGGAGUGUUAAAUAUGUGACAAUAUAUUCGGAUUAGUUUCCCAGUAGGAGUUUCUAUCAGGUGUAUUUAUUUUAUCCCCCUAUAUAUACUCUUGUAAGCCGUACAGGAAGGGGUGACGUUCACAUUGUGAUUCCCCUACGUUUGUAAUCAUCUCCUCUGUAGUGAUCAUUGCCGGUCGGCAUCCAUGGUUUUUUCCCGCAAGGGUUUUCCACGUAAAAUUCGUGUCUCCGUUGUGCAUAUAUUUUCAUAACAAGUGGUAUCAUAGCAUUGGACAUCAAUCUACUAAUCACGCGGCCACCGGUGUUUUUGGGAUCGGAGAAUCAAUCUGAUCAGCGGCGGCGGCGGCGCUCGUCGUUCGUUGGUGUCGUCGAGUUGCCGACUUGCCGUCCUCCUGACCGCCCUGCGCAUCCACGCAGGAGCAGCAGCAGUGCCGCGUGGAAGCCGCGCGGGAGAAGCAGAAAAGCAGGAGGAGCAACAGCGUCCAAUCCAUCCAACCAGCGCACAGUUCCCGAGAAAACAAAAAUAAUCUACCGAGAGAUUUCUGAUCCGGUUGAUUUUUUCAAAGUGGGAAUUGCUACGGCCACCUAAGCUUGUGUACCAGGAGAUACCCUGAUCUACGCUUCGUGCACACGGAAAGUGCACCAGAGGUUCGCGUUUUUGCUAGAUUUACCCUAAUUUCUUUCUAGCAAAUUCAGGAUUAAUUCCCAUAGCGAGUUUGAAGUAUGAUCUACCGCUCCUGGACCAACACACAAGAUUCUCACUUUGACAAGUGAAGAUGCGAGCCGUUCUUGCACAACAAGACCUCGAUGAUGCACUUUCUGGAUUUGACAAGAAGACACAGGAUUGGUCCAACGAUGAGAAGAAAAGGGAUCAUAAGGCUAUGUCAUAUAUUCAUCUUCAUCUAUCUAAUAAUAUUUUGCAGGAGAUGCUUAAGGAGGAGAUAGCCGCUAGGCUGUGGUUGAAGCUGGAACAGAUAUGCAUGACUAAGGAUCUGACCAGUAAGAUGCACCUGAAGCAAAAGUUAUUUUUGCACAAGUUGCAAGAUGAUGGGUCUGUAAUGGACCAUCUCUCCACUUUUAAGGAAAUUGUUGCUGACCUUGAGUCUAUGGAGGUAAAGUAUAAUGAAGAGAAUUUAGGCCUUAUUUUAUUGUGUUCAUUGCCUAGCUCAUAUGCAAACUUCAAGGAUACUAUACUUUAUAGUCGUGAUACUCUAACUUUGAAAAAAGUUUAUGAUGCUUUGCAUGCCAAAGAAAAGAUGAAGAAGAUGGUACCCUCUGAAGGUUCAAAUUCGCAAGCAGAAGGCUUGGUUGUUCGGGGCAGGCAACAGGAGAAGAACACAAACAGCAAAUCAAGAGAUAAAAGUUCAAGUGGCUACCGUGGGAGAUCAAAGUCCAGAGGUAGGUAUAAGUCAUGCAAAUACUGCAAGAGAGAUGGACAUGAUAUCUCUGAAUGUUGGAAGCUACAGGACAAAGACAAAAGAACCGGAAAGUAUAUACCAAAAGGUAAGAAAGAAGAGGAAGGUAAAGCCGCAGUUGUUACUGAUGAGAAGUCUGAUGCAGAAUUGCUUGUUGCUUAUGUUGGUUGUGUACAAACUAGUGACCAGUGGAUUCUUGAUACUGCAUGCACCUAUCGCAUGCACCUAUCACAUGUGCCCGAAUAGGGAUUGGUUUGCCACCUAUGAAGCUGUCCAAGGUGGUACUGUUUUGAUGGGUGAUGAUACACCAUGCGAGGUUGCAGGUAUUGGAACAGUUCAGAUCAAGAUGUUUGAUGGCUGUAUUAGAACAUUGUCAGAUGUGCGGCAUAUUCCAAAUUUGAAGAGAAGUCUCAUCUCUUUAUGUACUCUUGAUCGCAAAGGGUACAAAUAUUCCGGUGGAGACGGAAUUUUGAAGGUAACCAAAGGCUCUCUCGUUGUGAUGAAAGCUGAUAUUAAAUCUGCCAACCUAUACCAUCUGCGAGGUACAACUAUAUUAGGUAAUGUUGUAGCAGUUUCUGAUUCAUUAUCUAAUUCCGAUGCUACUAAUCUUUAGCAUAUGCGUCUUGGGCAUAUGAGUGAAAUUGGUUUGGCAGAAUUGAGCAAGCGAGGAUUGCUAGAUGGACAAAGCAUCGGGAAGCUCAAAUUUUGUGAGCAUUGCAUCUUUGGCAAGCAUAAGAGGGUGAAGUUCAACACAUCUACACAUACUACUGAAGGUAUACUUGAUUAUGUGCAUUCUGAUUUAUGGGGGCCUGCUCGUAAGACAUCCUUUGAAGGUGCUCAUUACAUGAUGACUAUCGUUGAUGAUUAUUCACGAAAAGUUUGGCCUUAUUUCUUGAAGCACAAAUAUCAAGCUUUUGAUGUGUUUAAAAGAGUGGAAAACUAUGGUUGAAAGACAAACUGAAAGGAAGGUGAAAAUCCUUCGUACUGACAAUGGGAUGGAGUUCUGUUCUAAGAUAUUUAAAUCAUAUUGCAAGUCUGAAGGCAUUGUGCGUCACUACACCGUUCCUCACACACCUCAACAAAACGGCGUAGCUGAGCGUAUGAACAGGACAAUUAUAUCAAAGGCCCGUUGUAUGUUGUCUAAUGCAGGUUUGCCCAAACAGUUUUGGGCGGAAGCCGUUUCCACUACUUGUUAUCUUAUCAAUCGAUCACCCAGUUAUGCCAUUGAUAAGAAGACUCCAAUUGAGGUAUGGUCUGGUUCCCCAGCAAAUUAUUCAGACUUAAAAGUAUUUUGUUGUACUGCUUAUGCUCAUGUUGAUAAUGGUAAAUUGGAGCCUAGAGCUAUUAAGUGCAUUUUUCUUGGUUAUCCGUCUGGUGUGAAAGGCUAUAGGUUAUGGUGUCCUGAAACCAAAAAGGUUGUGAUUAGUAGAAAUGUUGUCUUCUAUGAAUCAGUUAUGUUACAUGACAAACAUUCUACUAAUGUUCCUGUUGAGAGUCAGGAGAAAGCAAAUGUGCAGGUGGAGCACUUGAUCAGUUCAGGGCAUGCACCAGAAAAAGAAAAUGUUGCUAUUAACCAAGAUGCACUUGUUAUUGAAGAUUCAGAUUCUUCUAUAGUUCAGCAGUCUCCAAAACGUUCUAUUGCAAAAGAUAAGCCUAAAAGAAAUACUAGACCUCCUCAAAGAUAUAUUGAAGAAGCGAACAUAGUUGCUUAUGCUUUGAGUGUGGCAGAAGAAAUUGAAGGUAAUUCAAACCUUCUACAUAUUCUGAGGCUAUUGUUUCUGACGAUUGCAAUAGAUGGAUAACUGCUAUGCAUGAUGAGAUGGAGUCACUUGAAAAGAAUCAUACUUGGGAAUUGGUGAAGUUGCCAAAGGAGAAGAAACCUAUCCGUUGCAAGUGGAUCUUCAAAAGAAAGGAAUGUAUAUCUCCAAGUGAUGAGGCAAGAUACAAAGUAAGGUUAGUUGUUAAAGGUUAUAGCCAGAUUUUAGGUAUUGAUUUCAAUGAUGUCUUUUCCCCUGUUGUGAAGCAUAGUUCAAUUCGCACCGUACUCAGUAUUGUUGCAAUGCAUGAUUAUGAACUAAAGCAAAUGGAUGUUAAGACUGCAUUUUUACAUGGGGAGUUAGAAGAGGACAUUUAUAUGGAGCAACCUGAAGGUUUUGCUGUUCCUGGAAAAGAGAACCUAGUUUGUAGGUUGAAGAAAUCUCUUUAUGGGUUGAAGCAGUCACCUAGACAGUGGUAUAAGAGAUUUGACUCUUUCAUGCUUUCUCAGAAGUUUAGAAGAUCCAAUUAUGAUAGUUGUGUUUAUCUCAAAGUUGUUGAUGGUUCAGCUAUAUAUUUGCUUCUUUAUGUCGAUGAUAUGUUGAUUGCUGCAAAAGACAAAUCAGAGAUAGCAAAGUUGAAGGCACAAUUGAGUAGUGAAUUUGAGAUGAAGGAUUUGGGUGCAGCGAAGAAAAUUCUCGGUAUGGAAAUUACUAGAGAAAGACAUUCUGGCAAUUUAUAUCUUAGUCAGAAAGGUUAUAUUGAAAAAGUUCUUCGUCGUUUCAAUAUGCAUGAUGCAAAACCAGUGAGUAUUCCUUUAGCUGCACAUUUUAGAUUAUCUUCAGAUUUAUGUCCACAGUCAGAUUAUGAUAUUGAGUACAUGUCUAGAGUUCCUUAUUCAAGUGCAGUUGGUUCACUUAUGUAUGCCAUGGUAUGUUCUCGUCCUGACUUAUCACAUGCAUUGAGUGUUGUCAGUAGAUACAUGGCUAAUCCUGGCAAAGAGCAUUGGAAAGCUGUUCAAUGGAUUUUCAGAUACCUACGUGGUACAUCUAGUGCUUGUUUGCAGUUUGGGAGAUCUAGAGAUGGACUUGUUGGCUAUGUGGAUUCAGAUUUUGCUGGAGAUUUGGAUAGGAGAAGAUCGCUCACAGGUUAUGUUUUCACUAUUGGAGGAUGUGCUGUUAGUUGGAAGGCAAGUUUGCAAGCAACUGAUGCCUUAUCUACUACUGAAGCAGAGUAUAUGGCUAUUUCUGAAGCUUGUAAAGAAGCUAUUUAGCUUAGAGGUUUGUACACUGAGCUUUGUGGAGUUACGUCUUACAUUAAUAUAUUUUGUGAUAGUCAAAGUGCAAUAUGCCUUACAAAGGAUCAAAUGUUCCAUGAGAGAACAAAGCACAUUGAUGUGAGAUAUCACUUUAUUCGAGGUGUGAUUGCUGAAGAUGAUGUCAAGGUAUGCAAGAUAAGUACUCAUGAUAACCCAGCUGAUAUGAUGACAAAGACAAUUCCUGCUACUAAGUUUGAGUUUUGCUCAAGCUUGGUUGGUGUUACAGUAUAGUCCUAGAGACUAUUUGGCGCGCGGUGAUUUUACCUACAUGAGGUAUUUUUGGUGAUUGAUGUUUUUAUGCUACAAGAGGAAAUUCGUCUCAAGGUGGAGAUUGUUAAAUAUGUGAUCCAAAUUUUGGGCCCACAAUAUAUUCGGAUUAGUUUCAUAGUAGGAGUUUCUAUUAGGUCUUUCUUUUAUCCCCUAUAUAUACUCUUGUAAGCCGUACAGGAAGGGGUGACGUUCCCAUUGUGAUUCCCCUACGUUUGUAAUCAUCUCCUCUGUAGUAAUCAUUGCCGGUCGGCGUCCGUAGUUUUUUCCCGCAAGGGUUUUCCAUGUAAAAUUCGUGUCCGUUGUGCAUCUAUUUUCAUAACAGGGAGAUAGAUAAACAGAGUUCUGCAAAUUUUCAGCCAAACAGAACGAACUAGGACUUAGCAAGAAUCUAAAACUGAAGGAUAAGUUAGACAACCCAUCUCAAAAAGCUGUAAUUUAGAGUUUCAGACAAUGGGAGAUAGAUAAACAAAAUUCACAUGGAUUGGUUGCUGAGACAUCAACAUGCUGGGUGAUCCCCAUCCAUUAAUUCUGGUAAUUGACAUGUACAAAAUCAACAAUGGCAAGCAUAGUACAUAUUAUCAAAUAGCUUCAUGAGAAGGAACACAGCUACAACUACUAUUCCUAUGAACCAAUUUCUAAUGUCAUCAGUCUCUUUUUUCUGCUUGGACAACUUCUUGAAUGAAUUUUCCAUGUCUGAAAGCCGGUCAGCCAUUUCCAGCUCUAGCUUCAUUUUCUCUCUUCUGCCUUCGUUUUCUCAACAUAACAGUUGAGUGCUUGAGCUGUGGGCAGUGCUACAGAAUAACCAGAGGUUGAAGAAGGAUGCCCGCCACGAACCACCUGCUGCCGACGCCAUCGCCGCCGCCACCUCGCGGACACGGGCCCAAGCACCGGACACCGCCGCCAACACCACCUCACCACCGCAGCCCGCGGACCAGCCACCACCUCCUCGCCGCCUCCCAUGGACCACCUACUCGCCGCCUCCCACGAAUCAGCUGUCGCCACCGCCCACUUCGCCGCCGCCGCCUACGGAUCAGCCGCCGCCACCUCCCAAGGACCACCUCGCCGCUGUCCUCCGAGCGUUGCUCCCGUCCAGCACCGCCGCCACCUCUCACGGAUCAGAGCUGAAUCGAGAUGGAUUGUAAAAACCCUAGUUUCACCACUCAAAACGCAUCCCUACGUGAAAAGACAACAUUACCCUUCCACCCCUCUAACUAUUCUGGUACCACCUCAUGGGCAAAUAUGUACUGAGUUACCGCAUAAUUUCCACCGUCCGAUCGAGCUGAAUGAAUGGCUGAGAUUUGGAACUGGGCUAGUACCGUGGUACCUGCUGGAUGGGAGCAAUCCUCACGAUCUAAACCCUUUGGACUCUCCCUUUUCAAAUGAAUACAGGUGGGGAAACUCCCCCUCCCGGGUGAAUUAUUAUUUUUUAAAAAAAAAACCAAUCGCAGUCCAGUGUGGUUUUUCCUUUUUUGACAUUGCAGCCCAGUGUGGUUAGGGAUGAAAACGGAGCGGAUACGGACGGAUAAUGCUCAUACCAUAUUCGUUUUCAUAUUUUUUGCUGGAUAUGGAAAUGAAUACGGAUAGCUCGAAUACGGAAACAAAUACGGAUUAUCUCGAAUACAAAUAAGUAUCGAAUAUGAUCGGACACGAAUACGAAAACAAUUUUUUUUCGGAACACGAAAACCAACUUAACUUCUAAUAUAAAAAAAUAUCAACAUAUAUAGUUAGCUCAUUUUAUAUAAAAUAUAGUAUAAUUUAUAAAUAUUUUUUAAAAUUUAAAUAAUAUUAAUAGUGUGGACUAGAUUUAAGAGAUGAACUACUAUUAAAAUGUAAAAAGGUAUAUUGAAGGUCAUAAAGUUAUAAAGAAAUGAGGUAUGUCUCAUGGCUUCUGCGGAUAUCUGAAUAGCACUGUUCACCGGACAUCCGAAUUAUUAUCCGUAUCCGACGGAAACCCCGAUACCAUAUUUGUAUUCGCAUCCGGAAGAAAAUAUCCGUAUUCGUAUCCGUAUCCGAACUAUCCGAGAAAUAUCCGAUCCGAGAGGUAUCCGUUUUCGUUUUCCUCCGGAGCGGACAGAAACUAUCUGCUCCGUUUUCAACCCUAAGUGUGGUUCAUCCAAAGGACCGGAGAAAGUGGGUUAUGCUGCCUAAUUUAGUUCUGCUGACUCUAUCAGUAUCCACAUCUUCAGAUACCAUUCCCAUAAUCCCUAAAAUCCCAGCAGUUGCGUUGCAUGGUAGGCUAUGUAAAGCGCAUUCCUGUGAUGAAAAAUUGACCCUGGGAUGUAUCAAGCGAUCCACACACUAGCUAAGGUCCCUCAAUAGGGACAAUUAAUAGAAAAAGAUGGAAAGAUGGCGAUGGGAUGUAUCAAGCGAUCCACACGCUAGCUAGGUCCCUCAAUGGGGACAAUUAAUAGAAAAAGGUGGAAAGAUGGCGAUAGGGAAAGACAACAAAAUGAUAAAAGGAAGUACUCCCUCAUUCUCUAAAUGUUAGACACCGUUGACUUUUUUAAACAUGUUUGACCAUUCGUUUUAUUCAAAAACUUUUGUGAAAUGUGUAAAACUAUAUGUAUACAUAAAAGUAUAUUUAACAAUAAAUCAAAUGAUAGAAAAAGAAUUAAUAAUUACUUAAAUUUUUUGAAUAAAACGAACGGUCAAACAUUUUUAAAAAAGUCAACGGCGUCAAAUAUUUUGGGAUAGAGGGAGUAUUAGCCAAAAGAUCAAGACGGGGAUAGAGAAAUGUGGAACAUAUUAGUCACCAAUCGUAGUCCAGUGCGGUUUUUUUUUUGAGGAAAUGUGAAAAUUCAUCACACGCUGUUAUAAAAGAUAUCCUUUUUUCGAGGAAAGUCUCCCAGUCAAUAUGGUGCUCCUAUCGCUAUCAAUUUCUAUGGUACUAACCACGAUCUCCUAUGUAAAAACCAUCUGAAACGUCCGGAAGUCUGUACCAUCUGAAUGACAUCAUUCCCAGAUAGAAACAAACCGAUGACAUCAUUCCCAGAUAGAAACAAACCGCUCGUAGGGAUAGAAGAUGAAAUGAAGAUAAAUAUUAAGUGUUUCACAUAAAAUAAGGUGUUGAUAACGUAUGAUUAAUUGUGUUUUAAUUAUUACAAACUUAAAAAAUUGAUUAAUUUAAUAUUUUAGAACAACCUUCAUAUAUAAAGUUUUCGUACGAAACGUACCGUUCAACAGUUUAAAAAACGUGCCACGAGUAUCUAAAUUUUUAUCCGGUUCUUACAUAAGAAACGAGCGAGACCAUUCGACAGUCAAAAGAUAUGAGACUGAGAAAACGACAGGGGACAGAAUGCCACAUGCCCGUCAUCUCUCCUCACCUCCCCUCCGCUAUAUAAACCAGGGCAAAACUGAAGGCACGCAGGCACAACACUCCUCUCUAGCUUGAUCUUUCUAGCAUCUCUGCUAAUUGCCAAGCUCCAACCUUCUCAAUUUCCUAGAUUUAUUUGAUUCUGAAUAAUAGGAAGAUCCAUACAUCACAGGUGAUGGCUGACAUUGCUCGCCGGGAAGCGGAGGUCGACGGCGCUGCUUCUUCCAAGAUCGCGGCGGCGCUGGGGCUGUUCGGCGUCGCCACGGUCUCUCUGAUCAUCAACCUGGCCGCCGCGUGCGACCCACCGCCGGCCUACGGUGGUAACACCUACUACCACCUCGCUCUUGUGGGUUCCUUCCUCGCCGGAAUGGGCCAGGUUGGCGCGGCCAUCUGGGUCUCCGACGACCCACGCGGUCGCCGUGCCGCCGUCGGCAAGAAGAUCAUGAUCGCCUCCAUCGCGCCGCUCGUCGUCGCCGUCGGCCUCACCGGAGCGGCUCUGCUCUGGUAAUUACACCUAGGUUCGUUCAACUACACCGACAUCGCCGCCUCCCGCGCCAGCUUCUCCCUAGAUCGGCGCGAAUGUAUCUAUAUCGAUCUUACUUGUUUCAGUUGUGUAAUGCUCCUUUCUUGCUGUUUGGGUCACUGAUCGAGCUUUUGUGUAUCACCUCGCCUAUAUAUCUACAAUAAAUCGAUCACUUCGUUUCCUCCACCGCUUGCUGCUGUGCUAGCUGUUGUGUUAGUUGAUCAAUGCUUGGACCGAUGGAACAUGUGAUGAUGCAAGUUUUAAGUCCAUAUAGAAAAGGCAAAUCAACUAAUUGUAGAAAUUAUCUAAUUUAGGGAGUAUUUGGAAUUUUGGAGCACUCGUGAUCACCAAUCCAACGUCCACUUCCUCGCCGCUGCCGGCGGGGUGUCUACCGCUCCGGCGACGGUGUGGCGUCCGUACGUCCACGCCGCACGCCGCACCGUACGGCCGGCCCGCCUCCUUGUUCUCCCUUGGGAAGAUAGCCGCUGUCAAAAGGGUUCUUUUAGUGAAUUUUGUAUCUAUGUUUAAUCAAGAUUCUGAUUGAAUUACUACUAUAAUGUUUGGUUGUAUGAGUGGACCCCACACAUGCCACGUAGGAUAGGAGUAGGAGUAAUAUUAGUGGAGGAGGAGAGGGUAAGGGUCGCGGAUUUGCGGCUGCGGCGGCCGAGGGCCACGGCCAUGGCGCCGGCGACUUCGCCUUCGCCCUGCCCACCCACUCCAAGUAUCUCUGUCUCGCAGCUUCUGCGCCCUAACUCAUCCGCUUGCCUCUCAAUUCGCGCGUGAAGCGGUGAAUUGAAACGGCGCGCCAAAAUUUUCUCGGUCACAACCUGAUCACCGUCGCCGGAAUCCGUCCUCCGCUGCCAUCUUCCCCUCGCCGCCAACCUGCGCCGGCGAGCCGUUUGCCCGUAGCCGUCGCGGCUGUGGGUGGUAUUGCAACAGAUUUGUGGAAGCUUUUGUUUUUCAUGAUCCAUAUGGGAUUGCGGUCGUGUUGUCUCUCUAUCAACUUGCACGAAGAUCAGCGCCGUCAGCUUCGCAGUCGGUGUCGUGGUGGGCUUCACACUGAAGAGAAGACUACGCCGGUGGGCCGCUAGGCUGCUGAAAAGAAUCAAGGACGAUGACUAGUGAAAUCUUUUCGUACCAUGUUCUUCCUAACUUAUGUUCAGAACUAUGUUUUGUUGUGCAUCACCCGCAGUUUGGAUCCCUCUUUACAAUUCGAUAAAAUUGCAAGGAACACAAACUUAUGGUUUCUAAGCUGUAUUACACAUUUCUUAAGGUCCGUAAGCCUUAGAAUUGCUACUCGGAAUGUUGUUUUUUCUGAUUGGUGAUUUACAAAAUCUAUUUCUCCCCCUAUUGAUCGAGUACUCGGAUUAGCGACAGUUGUCUCAAGUGAGUGUACUUUUUCACGCCUACCGUUCAGCCUCUGCAUCGCCAUAUUACCGAUUUACUGGCAUAUAAAUAAGCCUUAGUCCGCCCCUUUUUUUUUUUUGAGGGAACGGGUAGGGAGAAGAGAGUUAUCUAGUUUAUAGGAAAAGUCAGACCUAAAAUCUUAUUAAUUAUGGAAAACUGGUCAAAACCAUACACUAAAUCUAAAAAUAGCAAUCUAACAAGAGAAAUCUCUUAAAACCAAGCCUUUGAGAAGGACACAAGUCAACGGAACGAUAACAUCGUCCGAAUAUAGGUUGAUUUGAGAAGAAAACCGUUAAUGCUUCAACUCGGACGUCCGGACGGAAGGAGAAAAAUUGGACGGGCUGACUCUGACACAUCCUUUCAAGCCUACACACAUGUACCUUUAACGAUAUUUAAAACAUUUUUUUUCUCGUAAAUUACUAAUCCAAUCUACAAUCCGAUCACACUGUUGUAUUUGUUGUAAUUAAAUCUUUACAACAAGAUGUCGCAUGAUUAUAUUCUGAUUAAAAAUAAUCAUAUGUUUCAAUCCAUUAACACUCUUUGUUUCAUACGCGAUAGUGAUAGAUAUGUUUCAAUAUGUCUCUUAUGCAUGUUUCACAAAUUUCAUGAAACUAUAUCUCACUACUCUCUCUCCACCUCAAACAUGCAUGCAUGUAUGCAUUUUAGCGAGCUUCAAAAUAAUUUUUCUCAUAAACUAAUUAUCCAAUCUAUGAUUCGGUCACACCGUUGUAUUCGUUGUAAUUAAAUCUUUACAACAAGAUAUCACAUGAUUAUAUUUUGAUGAAAGAAAAACAUAUGUUUCAAUCCGUUAACACUAUUGUUUCAUAUGUGAUAGCGAUAUGUUUCAACGUAUAUCUUCAUCAUGUUUCAUAAAAUUUUUAAAUGUUUCAGUUGCUGAUUUUUUGUUUCACCAUAUAUAAUUUGAUGUUUCACUCAAUGGUCAACUAGAACAUUUGACCAACCAAUUUUCUUUAGGACAUGGGACGUCAGAUGAGAAGAUUCUUCAUGAUUGAGGAGUGAAGAAUAAAGUGCGGCAACAUGCACAUGCACAUACGCUCGGUGUUUGGCUGGGCGUCCGAUAUUUGGUGAGAUAUCGAACGUCCGAGCCGUAGUGCUAUCCGAAGAAAGCUCUUAAAACCAAGCCUUUAGCGUUGAGUUUUAGGUUGUUACAAAUAAAUAUAUACUACCUCUGUCCCAAUAUAAGCGUAAUUGUUGGUUUCCGUGUCCAAUAUUUGACCGUCUAUCUUAUUUAAAAAAAUUGGUCACAUAUAAAAUAUUAUACAUGUUUUAUCAUCUAAUAACAAUAAAAAUACUAAUCAUCAAUAUUUUUCAAAUAAAACGGAUGGUCAAACAUUGGACACGGUAACUGACAGCUAUACAUAUUUUAGAAUAAAGGCAGUAAAAAUUUUACCUAUAAAUUAAUUUUUAUUCUUUAGUAAACUGUUUUGUCUUAUUUGCCUAGGCAUCACCUCUAGAAUGAAGCUUCAUUGAUUUCUGGGUUGAAUUUGCUCCAACUGACACAAAAGCCGGUGAAAUGCCCCCCGCAAAAAAAAAAAAAAAAGCCGGUGAAAUGGCGUCCCCAACGUGUAGCCGACGGCCCGACGCCCGACGGGAAAUAAUCGGGUUGAAGCAAACUGGAGAAGGAAGAGCGGGUUGGCACGAAGCUUCGUUGAUAAAGACGUCGUCAAUACUACUACCAGCAAUUUCCUUCCACUAGCGGACGAUUAGGGCCUCUGGCCUCUGGUCUCUGGUCCCGCUGUGUCAGUGGGAGUAGAUUUGGCGCCGCGAUGCCAUGUGCUCAAUGUGAUUUCUUUCUCACUUUUUUUUUUGUUCUGUUCGAGGAGAUCCAGUACCAUGCCGUAUUUUUUUGUUACAACACGUCCCGCGACCAGGUAGAUGAGUUAGGACCACUUUUGUUGUUAUUACAGUAUGUGCUAUGACCAUUUUAGAUGAGUUAGGACCACUUUAUGUUCUAGGAGGUCCGGGGUCCAGUACCAUGCCGUCCAUAUAUAGCGCAUUUGAGUUGCACAUCUCCAGCAACCAACUCCCUCCCAACCGAUCGAUCUCUCUCUUCUACUUCAUCCAGGUCCAAGGAGCGGCUCAAUCAGUCGAGAGAUUAAAUGGCGGCACAGUAUGAGGUGAGUGACGCAUUAGGCGCGCUCGGCGUCGCCGCCAUCUCCACGGCCACCACUUUGGCCACCGCAGCGUUCCAGCCGCCGCCGGCGCCGGGCGGCCUCCGCACCACCACCACCUACAACCACCUCGCCGUCGCCGGGCUCGCAGGGACCUUCCUUGGCGGGGUGGUCCUGGUCGGCGCUUCAGUCUGGGUGUCCGACAACCCAGCUGCCCGCCGUGGCACCGGCAAGAAGCUCCUCUACGCCGCCGUCCCGAUGCUCCUCGCCGCGGUCGUUCUAUCGGUGGCGGCGCUGCUCUGGUAAGCCUCUCAAAUUAACGCUCAUGUACAAGCCCCUGUCCGACCGCAUUACUAUCCGCCAUGAUCGGAGCCAAGCCGGCCGUCCCUAGCGUUCUCCUUAUGUCAAUCAAAUGUAACCUUAAUUCUUCAUAUUGUUUGUUUUAUUGGUCGAUCGCUGCGUCGUGGUUGUGUCUCGUGGAGCUGUAGUAUCAUCAUGUAAUAGUGUUUGCUUCUUAUUCUAGUCCAUUGUGUGUAUCACCUAUGUAUGAUCACGUCUCCUUCUGUUCUUGGUCUGUCAAAGUGUUAUUCGAUUGAUGGCCGGCUUAAUCGACGAGUGUUUUGUUAAUUAUGAGUUCAUAUAAUCUCGGCGUGGAAAUCUCGGCGUGGGCUGAGAGACUUAAGUUAGAUGACAGACAUGUAAUCUCGGCGUGGAAAUCUCUCUUCUCCUUUUCUAUCCGCUCCCUCGAUAUAUAAUUGGACUCUCUGUACUUUCUUUGCUAUUAAUGGAUUCAGGUGGGGAAGCUCUCCCCCCCGGGUGAAUUUUCAAAAAAAUUAUGAGUUCAUAUCUCCCAAUUUGAAGUAUGGUGAUUCAAAGGGGAGCUAUGCAGUACUAGUUUUUGGCUUAAUUACAUUUAGGGAAGAGUGGAUUUGGAGUACUCCAUGCAUAUCGGCGCCGCUCGCCGUCGCCGCCGACGCUGAAUAGUUCUGGAAGUUUGCCUUGUCGGCCGUCGUGUCCUUCUGGUGCUAAAAGCCCAUCUUUUUCUCCUUUUUUUUUUCUUUUCCUUUUUUUUUGGGGGGCAACUGUUAGAAGAGAGGGAAGGGUGGGCCAUAUUAAGUGGGGCCCACAUGCCGUAUCAUAUCCAUGACCUUUGUCCUUGCGUUGCCGGCGGCGGCGGCGGCGGCGGCUACGGUGGCCAUGGAGAUCUCACGCGACCAUUUGCCGGUGAGGUCGGCUGCUCCGCCUCCGCCUCCGCAUCUACGCCUGAUUGAUCCCCACCCCUAUCUCCACUGACUGUGCUAUCGCGUUUCCGGCGGUGGUUGAUCGAGGCGGUAGCCCGUGCGGCGCGCGAGAUUCCGCCCGUCCACGGAUUUCCGGUCGCCAUCGCCGGGGUUCGUCUUCUCCGGCCAGCCCCUCGCCGCGCGAACCUGCGCCGGCCGACCUCGGCCAGGAUCUGGUCGGGAUCGCUUGUGGUAGGUGUUGGGGGGCACUUGGGUUUGGAGGACAGCAUCGUUGAUGUGCUUUGACUUUGAGUUCCUUGCUAAUUUAGUUAUGCUGAUUGUUCCCAUAAUCCCUAAAAUCUCAGCAGUUGCGUUGCGUGGUAGGUUAUGUAAAGCGCAUUCCUGUGAUGAAAAAUAGACCCUGGGAGACAUAUUAUCAAUUGUAUCAAGCGAUCCAACACACUAGGUCCCCAAAUAUUGUCGUAGAUACCAUUUUCUCUUCAGUAUGCUGCUUAAAAUGCAAAUUGUAAGCUUUUCUCUGUGCUGUCCAGUUACGUCUAGUAAUUCCUUAUGUUUAAAGACUGAUAUUGGUCUUUGGUUGUGUGUGAUGUGCUUCUUGUUAAUCGCAAUACUUGAUCUUUACUAUCGGUGCAUAUUUAGUCCCAAUAUGCCCUUUUAGUUAAGUUGCUGAAACAUUGAGCAUCUUGUCAUGUUGAUCUUCUUGUGAGUGGUUCAAGAUGAUUUGUUCUGUUUUAAUGGAAGUAAAAAACGAGGGCUGUCCCCUCCUAAUGGGAAGAGAAAAAGAGAUGUAUUCCAGCAACCAUGUGUUAUAGUACAAUCCAAUUAGUUCGCUAAGCUAUUAUGGCCUUUAUAUCCUGCUCUGAGUAUUUAUUUGAUUUGCUGUAAAGUUAUUAAAUUUAUGGCAUUGUUAUACGUGAUUUGUACUUGAUUAUAUGCUGCUAUUGGUGAUUCAUGUAAUUAGAGCUGAAUGGGAUUUUUGCUAGAUACACAUUGCUUCUUUCAACAACCCUUAUGCGAACAAAAUUAAUGGGCUGGUUUCUCUUCUGUGCUGAUUUCCAUUGUUCCAUAGCUGAAGCUUAAGUAAUUGCAAAAUUUGUAGGAACUCAUCUGUUCUUUUGCUGAACCAAUAGACUUUUGUAAAUACAUUUGCACAAGACAUUGAGGUCAACUAAAAUUCUUCUAUGCCCAAUGGUGCAGCCAUAUUUCAUACAUGAAUAUGGCUAUCGCUUUGCCUGAUAGGUUAUGGACUGUGAACUCUGUGUUUAUUUUGAUGUGAAAAUGGCCUCAGGGGAACGCAGGAUAACUCAUACAUGUCAAUCCAUACACUAGGUCCUGAGAUAUUUUCUUAAUGCCCUUUUCUCUUUUCACUAUACUCUACUUGUUAAACUUCUAAGAAAAGUCUUAUCCCUCUACUGUUCUAUUAUAUCUAUAAUUCCUUUGUUUUGAUGUCAAAAGCAGUGUAUUCAGCUGUAUAUUUUGUUGUGAUAUGCUCUGGUUGAUAGUAGUUAGUGUCCGUGUUUUGACUUGUUGCUGAACCCUUGAGAGCAUCUCGUAAUGUUUAACUCUUAUGAAUUGCUCGAGAUGACCUUUUUUGUCUUGAUGAAUAGUGGCAUGGCAACCCAAGGCAAGAGCACUAGGGCCUAGAGGUAUUCCUAGAAACUUAGGAGCAAACGGAGAAAGACGUAGCAGGACCAGAGCAGAGGACAUUUGGCACCUUUGAAACACCAUAAAUCAUCUCGUAAAAUAUAUUCAACUUUAAAAUUUGUACUAUGUAAUAGGUGGUUAAAUUCUGUUCUUCUGAGUGAUGGAAUUGCAUAUUGUAAAUCAAUCUCUACUUGUACAAAAGAUGAGUAAAUCUUUUGCUUAUUCUUAUCUACUUUUUUUUGUCAAAAUGAAUAGGAAUAUCAGGUGCCUUUAAAGUGCAAGUAUAAUGGAAAGAGUUGGUAAAUUUUAAUAUACUUCUGAAAGAAUCAUCAUCCUUGUGCCAUUAUCUUUUUCAUGUAUUGAACAACAGAUUUGCACAUGUAUUUUUGCCAUCUCUAACAGCUCUUUAUUAACGGAUAGUAUAUGGCUCUUCUUUUAUGUAGGGGGAUGUUGAGUUGUAAGAAGACCAGAUGCAUCAGCUCUGAUUUAGUGAUUUUAGAGGCAUGUAUAACCUGUCAAAGAGCAGCAAAAGAAAUGCGUCAUAGCUGUGUGAUACAUAACUUUGCCAGGAGAUCUCUCUAUUUAAGCACACAGACUGCUAUGGCAUUGUUAAACAUUUGCUCAGUUUCUCUUAAAUGCAUUUCUGCUGGCAUAAGAUGGUAGCAUGGUGGAGGUUCUGUUGUUAAACCCUGGUAUCAGGACUUGAUCAAGCAGUUUGGUACGUUCGGUGAAAAUUCAUGCACAUUUGAGCGAUCGUACAGUAGUCUGAAGUUGGUGUUUUCUAUCCUCCGGUAAUUAUGGAUCACUGGUAUAACGAGGAAUCAACCUAACGUAUAAUUGCCAUGGUCUGUAUUUUUGUAUAUGUGGAGACUGGUGUGUGUACUAAUUUUCUGGAAUGUCAUGUAAUCAGAAGAGUUGUUUAGAAGAGGCAUAGGCAAAUUCUCUUGUAAGGCUUUUGUAGUUCCUUGAUAGUUUAACAUGGUUAUAACAGUAGUGUUUUCUAUGACGACAUUUAUGAUUAAACUGUGUCUACAAUUCCUGUCUUUUGUGCAGAAAAAAAAAAAGCACUGAUAAAACACCCUAGAGUUGAAUGCAUUGCGCUGUUGCGACUGAUUCUGAAAGCUUGGCAGCAAGGGCAAUGUUCAGCAUUUUUUUCCUGCAGCUGUGAAUUUUGCUACUCUUGUUAAACCCAGGGUUCGAAACUCCCCGCCCCCCCCCCCCCCCAACCGAAAUGCUCACAUAUCGCCCAAAAUUUUGGUUUUUUGCUUUUUUUUUUCCGAAUUUGGUCAAAUUUAUUCAAAAUCAGUCAAAAAUUCAAAAAAAAUUGUACGAAAAAAAUAAAAAAAAACUCAGAAAUUUCGGUUCUAUCACCCACCUGCGGCAGAAAUCUUAGUUUCAAAAUUAAAAACCUUGGAACUUAAACCUGUGCCCGGGUGUGCAAACCUGACAGCCAUUAUGGUUGUGAUAACUGAUAGGUGCUAUGCCUAUAGUUUUUCAGGUGAGCUGGUGAUGGUAUGUUUGGUUUAGAGCUGAUUCUGUGGUGGAGACGCAAAUUAAACCGAGAUACUAAGGGAAUCGAGACACAGGAGUCUCAAAUGGCCCAAUUUUUUCAAUACUCUUCUCACUAAACAAAUACGAGUACCUCUCAAAAAGAGAAGAACAAAUACGAGUACUUUAUACAAAAAUGAAAUAGGGACUAAAUGAUGAUUCUUUGUCAACCCAUUUGUGCUGAUGACCUGCAUCUUUGAUGUGAUGUUUCUAAUGUUUCUUUACCAAUUAAUUUUACACAAAACACAUUGUUUAGGAGCUUGGAACUUGGAAACCAUGCCCGCGACAAUCCAGAAUCCUGAAUUAGAAAAGAAAUUAAUUACAGGCCCUUCGUUGUGGCAAUCACAGGAACCAGGAGUACUACUGCAUACUUUAACGACCCGCCUAAUUUAUUAAACAUCACAGGGACAUGAAUACAUGAAAAAACAGUAGAUUACACGAAACCACCAUGGAUCAUACACAAAGAACAUUAGAUUAGAUAUUAUAGUAUUAAACAUCACCAUCAUAAUCACAGCAGUAACGACACAUACCACGAAUAGAGGGAGGGACAUAAAUGGAGGGUGACGUCACCGACGCUUUGGCAGUGUUUGGCAAAUGUCUAAGGGAAAUAAUUUCCCACCCAUUUUUAAAUCCUAACCAUUCAUUAUCCAUCAUCCAUUUAAUCUUAACCCUUCGUCAAAGUUCAGAACGGAGAACUUCCAUGAAAUUAUUUGCGCGCAUCCCGCGUACACACAGGAAGCUGGAAGCCGCAGGGGGCGCGCAUCGCACAAUAUAUAUACUUCCACGUUCAUAGUUGGGAACUCGGAAGCUAGCCCACCCCGUCCCGUCCCUGAUUCACCGCAGAUCCCUCUAAUUCAUAGCUAGAUCCAUUAAGGAGAGGAUCGAAUCAUUGAUCAGCUAGGAACCGGUCGGGAGAUUGUCCAUUUUGGGGAGGGAUUAGCGAAAGAGAUGGCGCCACAGCUUCCGGCGGGUGCUGAUCGCCGGGAACCGGAGGCCACGUUGGGGGCAGUCGGCAUCGCCACCGUCUCCGCGGCCACCGCCGCUCUGGCCGCAGCGCUCGAGCCGCCGCCGGGUAGCCUCGUCGCCGACACCUUCUACCGCCUCACGCUCACCGGGGCCUUCCUUGGCGGGGUCGCCCUGGUCGGCGCUUCAAUCUGGGUGGCCGACAACCCGGCCGCCCGCCGUGCCGCCGGCAAGAAGCUGCUAUACACCGCCGUCCCGCCGCUCCUCGCCGCCGUCGGGAUAUCGGUGGCGGCGCUGCUGUGGUAAGUCCGUCAAAUGUUCAUGCACAAGCCCCUGUCCGACCGCAUCACCGUCCGCUGGCGUCGAUCUCUAGCUUGUUGCUCGUGUUUGUGUCCCUGGAAAUUGUGUGCACUACUACUUCUUGUAGAGUUUGUGUGUAUCACCCAGGCUUUGAAGGUAUCACCUUACGUAUGAUCAUAUCAGUGUCUGAGUGUCUCGUUCUGUAUGUUUUGUUUGGCUGUCGUGUUUGUUCGAUUAAUGACCGGUCGGCUUAAUCGACGAGCGUUUGUCAAGAGUCUUGAUACUUCAAAUAUCCCAAGUUGAAAGUAUGGUGCUUGUAUUGUAUGGUGUUCGCAAAAGAAAAAAAAAACAGAUUAUUUUGUAGUAAUUUUCAGCUUGAGUACAUCGUAGGAUCCAUGCGUAUUGACGCCGUCGCCGGCGAACGGCGUUUCUCAUCAUGGAUAGCAGCAGUGGCGUCUCUCUAGUCUCUACGCCGCUCGCCAUCGACGCCGACGCCGAAAAGCUUAUAUCUGGAAGCUUGCGUUCCGCCAAAAGCCAUAUAUAUUUUUUUUAAGUAAAGUGUAUGAGCGGUCCUUAAACUUGUAUGGGUGUGUCAUCUGGAUCCCUAAACUCUCAAAAUGCAUAUCCAAGUCACAGAACUUGUCAUAGUGUGUCAUCUAGGUCCCAAAUUGCCACAACCCCUUCAUGAUCCUAUGUGGCGUUGAUGUGGCAUGCCACACAGACAUGACGUGGCAUUAUUUUGACUGAUAAAUGAUACCCAUUUAUUUUUUUCCUUUUUAUUUUUUUCCCUUUAUUCUCCUUUUCUCUGUGAUCCGUGCAAAAGAAAGGAAAAAAACAAGAAUGAAAAGAAAAUGAAAAAGAAAAAGGAAAGAAGAAAAAAAAAGACAAGUCACGUCCAUGUGGCAUUGCCACAUCAGCGCCACAUAGGAUCAUAGAGGGAAUGUGUCAAUUUGGGACCUAGAUGAUACAUUUUGACAAGUUCUGGAACCUGGAUAUGCAUUUUGAGAGUUUAUGAAUUUAUAUGACACAACCUACAAGUUUAAGUACCGCCAAUGCACUUUACUUUUUUUUUUUGUUUUUUUGGGGGGUGAUUUUCUCUCUCAAUGCUGAACUGCUACAUGGGCCAUAGAAGUGGGGCCCAAAUGCCGCAUGAUAUCCUUUGACCUUGCGUUGCCGGCGGCGGUUAUUACGGCCAUGGAGAUCUCGCGCGGCCAUUUGCCGGUGAGGUCGGCUGCUUCGCCGGCGCCUCCGCCUCCGCAUCUACGCCUGGUUGAUCCCCCAACGCUAUCUCCACUGUGCUAUCGCGUUUCCGGCGGUGGUUGAUCGAGGCGGUAGCCCGUGCGGCGCGCGAGAUUCCGCUCGUCCAUGGAUUUCCGGUCGCCGUCGCCGGGAUUCGUCUUCUCCGGCCAGCCCCUCGCCGCGCGAACCUGCGCCGCCCGUCCUCGGCAAGGAUCUGAUCGGGAUCGCUUGUGGUAGGUUUUGGGGGCACUUGGGUUUGGAGGACAGAAUCGUUGAUGUGUUUUUGAGUUACUGCUAAUUGAGUUAUGCUGAUUCCGUCAGUAUCCACAUCUUCAGUUGCUAUUCCCAUAAAAUCCUACAUUGCCUGCCGAUGCUUUUCGAGCCCGCAGAUUAUACUAGACUUGUUUGGUAGCACGCUAUGUACUUCACAAGUGCGCAUUCCGGUCAUGAAAACUGCACUCAGGGAGACAUAUAAUCAUUUGUAUCGCACAUUAGGUCCCUUGAUAUUGUCUUUGAUACCUUGUCAAAAUGCUGAGAGUAAGUUUUUCUCUGUGCUGUCAGUUACAUAUAAUCCCUUAUGUUUAGACUAAAAAAGAAAAGGUAUAGACUGAUAUUGGUAUUUGGCAGUAUGUGAUGUGCUUCUUGUUCAUCGCACCAGUUGAUCUUUACGAUCGGUGCAUAUUUAGUUCCAAGAUGUCUUUUUAGUUAAAUUGCCGAACCAUUGAGCAUCUUGUUAUGUUGAGUGGUUCAAGAUGAUUUGUUCUCUUUUAAUGUAUAAGUGAAAAAAAAGGGGUUUAAUGUAAAGAAAAAAGAGAUGCAUUUCAGCAAGCUUGUGCCACAGUACAAUCCAAUUAGUUCGCUAAGGUAAGCUAUUGUUUAUGGCUGUUAUAUCCUGUUAUGAGUAUUUGUUUGAUUUGCUAUAACGUUAUUAAAUUUCUGGCAUUGUCAUACAUGAUUUGUGUUCUGUUACAUGCUGCUAUUGGCAAUUCAUGUAACUAGAGCUGAAUGGGAGUUGUGCUAGAAACACAUUGCUUCUUUCAACAACCCUUAUGCAAACAAAAUUGAAAUGAUGGUUUCUCUGCUGUGCUAAUUUCCAUUGUUCCAUAACUGAAACUUAAGUAAUUGCAAAAAAAAUUUUGGAACUCAUCUAUUCUCUUACUCUUAUAAUAAGUCUGGGUUUUGUAGGUAGCUACGCUCAUGCUAUGUGCUUGCGCUCUGUCUAUCUGAACCAAUAGACUUUUGAAAAUCCAUUUUUACAAGACAUUGAGAUCAACUAAAAUUCUAUACCCAAUGAUGCAGCACUGCAGCCAUAUUUCGUACAUGAAUAUGGUUAUCUGUUUGCCUGAUAGGUUUAUGAAAUGUGAACUGUAUGUGUUUAUUUUGAUGUGAAAUGGCCUCGGGGCAACACGUGAUAACUCAUACAUGUCAAUCCACACACUAUACUCUAAUUGUUAAACUUCUAAGAAUAGGCUUAUCUCCCUACUGUUGUAUUACAUCUAUAAUUGUUUUUGUUUUGAUGUAAAAAAGCUGUGUAUUCAGCUGUAUAUUUUGUUGUGAUAUGCUGUGGUUGAUAGUAGUUAGUGUCCACGUUUUGACUUAUUGCUGAACGCUUGAGAACAUCUCGUAAUGUUGAAUUGUUCAAGAUGACCUUUUUUUGUCUCGAUGAAUAGCGGCAUGGCAACCCAAGGCCAGGAACUAGGGCCUAGAGGCAUUCCUACAAACUUAGGACUUUAGGAGCAAACAAAGAAAUAGCAGAACCAGAGCAGAGGAGGUGUUAGGAGAAAUAUAAAGGGCAUUUGGUACCUUCGAAAUACCAUAAUGCGUCUCGGAAAAAACAUUCAACUUUUAAAAUUUGUACUGUGUAAUAGGUGGUAAUGCUGUUCUUCUGAGUGAUGGAAGUGCAGAUUAUAAAUCAUUCUCUACUUGUACAAAAGACAAGCAAAUCUUUUGCUUGUUCUCGUCUCUUUUUUUUUGGUCAAAAUGAAUAGGAAUAGCAGGUGCCUUUAAAGUGUAAGUAUAACAGAAAGAGUUGGUAAAUUUUAACAUACUUCUUAAAGAAUCAUCAUCCUUGUGCCUAUCUGUUUCAUGUACUGAACAACAGAUUUUUAAUUGUGUAUUUUUACCAUCAGGAACAGUUCUUUAUUAACGGAUAGUAUGUGGUUCUGCUUUUCCAUAGGGGGAACGUUGACUUGUAAGAAGACCAGAGCCAUCUGUUCUGAUUUGAGAGGCCUGUAUAUUAACCUGUCAAAGACUCAAAGAGCAGCGAAGGAAAUGUUUCAUAGCCUUGUUAGACAUAACUUUGCCAGGAGAUCUGUCUGUUUUGAUGCCCACAGGCUGUUAUGGGGGUUGCUAGUCACUUGCUCUUACAUGCCCUUCUGCUGGCAUAAGAUGAUAGUCUGGUGUAGGUUCUGUUGUUGAACCCUGGAAGUCUGGAACACAACCGGUGCUCAGAAGACUUUCAUAUCACUGCAGCCUACCAGGAUUUGAUAGAGCAAUUUGAUAUGUUUGGUGAAAAUUCAUACACAUUUGAGUUAUUGUACAAUACUCAGAAAUUGGUGUUUUCUAUCCUCUGGUAAUUGUGGAUCACUGGCAUAUUGAAGAAUCAAACCUGACAUAUAAUUGCCAGGGUCUGUAAUUUUUAUACAUGUGGAGAUUGGUGUGCAUACCAAAUGUUCUGCAUCAUGUAAUCAGAAGAGUUGUUUAGGAGAGGCAUAGGCAAAUUCCCUUGUAAGGCUUUUGUAGUUCCUUGAGUGAACGUAGUUAUAACAGUUCUGUUUUCUACGACAAAAUUUGUGAUUAAGGUUCACAAUUUGUGUUGGUUGGGCAGAAAACAAUGAGCUGAUAGAACAUCCUAGAAUUAGGCCUUGUUUAGAUACUAAUUUUUUUUUUGCCAUAAACGUCACAUUAAAUAUUUGGACACAUGCAUGGGGCAUUAAAUGUUGGAAAAAACCAAUUGCACAGUUUGCAUGUAAAUUGCGAGACGAAUCUUUUGAGCUUAAUUACGCCAUGAUUUGACAAUGUGAUGCUACAAUAAACAUUUGUUAAUGAUGAAUUAAUUAGGCUUAAUAAAUUCGUCUCACAGUUUACAUGCAGAAUCUGUAAUUUUUUUUUGUUAUUAGUCUACGUUUAAUACUUCAAAUUUGUGUCCGUAUAUAAAAAACUUUACACCCAACGUACUAAACACACCCUUAGUGCAUUUUGUGCUGGUGUGACCGAUUCUGAAAGCUUGGCAGCAAAGAGUUGUGAAAUUUGUUAAUCAUGUCAACUUGUGCUCGGGGUGUGCAAACCUGACAAGCAUUAUGCUUGUGAUAACCGAUAAGUAAUGUAGGAGUAGUUUUUUGUGGUGAGUUGUUGGUGGUGGUAUUAAAAGUCAUUGAACCGACAUAACAAGGGGCAUUGGGACACAUGAGUAUCAAAUGGUCCAAUUUGGCCUUAUUCUAUACUCUUCUCACUAAACAAACGCGAGUACUGUAUACAAAAUGAACUAGGAAUAAAAAUUGAUGUUUUACUUAUUUUGUCAACCCAUAUUUGUGCUCUGCUAGCUGACCUGGGUGUGAAAUUGAAGCUUGUUUGACAACGACCAUUAUUCUGAUCGAUCUCUUUGUGAUGGGGUAACAUUGAUGUGAUGCUUUCUAAUGUCCCUUUACCAAUCGUGAUAGCGCUCUCAACAGUAUGCAACAGUAUUCCUGAAGUUUUUCGCCAAUCAGGUGGUGAUGACCUUGAUCUGGUGUCCCUUGCAGGCUUGCAUUGUGUUGGUCUAACAAUCCAUUUGGACCAUUUGUCGUAUCCAAAGGCUCGUAAGUUUGUCAACUCGGCUUUGUAUAUCUUUAUGCAUGAGAUGUGUUUCCAGGCGUGCAUUUGCAUUGUACUUGAUGUAAUAGAUCUCCCGGCCUGAUUUAUAUUUGUUUACGUACUACUGAUGCACUCUCGCACAGGUAGUUGCGAUGUCGUAUGAUGAGAGAAGCAGAUCUACGUGAUGUUUGCCAUUUAGUCCUUUUAAAGAACAUAUUUUAUAAACAGAUUGCGAGAAAACUUGUUGCGUAUAUGCACCCUAUAUCGGCGCCAAAUACAAUCGCGCUGAACCUAACCAUCAAUCAUUUUAGUGUCGACCUCUCUGACAUAAGAAAAUCUCAUUUUCCAUUCAAAUACUAUUAAUUUGCUAUCAAAUUUGGAAACUAACAAAUCGUCCUAAUUGGUUUCUGAUAGUUCAUUUUUUAUCGAGUGGUUGGUUAAAUGUGUGUGAUUGCUGGGAGGCUUAGCAUUUAUCUUGUGACAUAGAGAUAUUAUGGGUCAGCUAAGUUUUUUUCAAGAAUUAGACAGUAUAACGCAGACACUUAUAACGCACGCGCACUCACUCCUAUGAAUACACGCACGCAAACCCUACCCCUAUGAGUAUCUUCGAAGACUGGGCCGCUGUCGACGGGUACGUCGCUUACCACUGAAAGCACAACGCUGUUAAAUCCUGAAAAAUUCGCUCUCAUGGGUAGUCGAAUCUAAGACCUUAAGUGCUACUGAGGCUCUUGUAACCAUUAGGCUACAGACUCUUUUGCUAUGGGUCAGCUAAGUUUAACCACAUUUAAGGAAGGUUUUUGCGUUGGUACUAUUUGCAUGUAGAUUGAGAGGUGAAGACCUGUGCAGUUGGUUGCCGGCAAAAAUUUGCUGCCGUUGGGGAGCUUUUGGGGCUGAUGAUCAUAUACGUGCGUGCUGCUGCUUGACUUUUCCCUUAUUCGCUUGCGUGCGCCAUAUUAGCAUGGCAUUUUUUUCCCUAAUCUACUUGACUUCUCCCUUAAUCGCUUGCGUGCGCGAGAGCCGUAUUAGCAUGGCAUUGGUGUGCGGCUGCGUGAAGGAUAUGCAGUUGUGGCGUCGGUUUGUAAACGAUGCGAUAUGAUUAGCGUGUGCAGCUGCUAGGAAGAUAUGCGGCCUCAUCUCUUGUUUACGUAUGCUUAUACUUAUCAGCCAAAAUUUAAAUUUUUAACCUUCAAUUUGAAGCUGAUUUUAAUGUUUUUUUAUCAAAAUUUAUUUAUCAACAUUUGCUUUUAGAUCACUAAGAACACGUAUAUAAAAGUUUUAUUCACAAAAUUAUUUUUCAUUUGUGAAUAUGCCGAAUAAGCCAAACACUAGAGCCGAUAGAUUUUCCAUCUUAACAGUUUGUUUCCUUUUUGUUUGAACCUUGCUAUUUUUGUGUUGGACCGAUGACCAUGCUACCUGCGUAUAUAUGCGGGUGUACGGUUAAUUGAAAAGCCUCGAACAAUUUAUGGAUAUACUAUUUCUCUCGUUCUUUACUUUUUCGUUAUUUUCUAUUUUACUUUCAUGGAUGAGUUCUAGUAACCCUAGAAUUUGGUUAAUAUUUGCCGUUUUGUGCUGAAAAAUGGUCGUGCUUUUCCAUAAAAGAGACGAGGUUAUCCUUUGCUAGUUUGCUCGGAAAUUAGUAGUUCGUCGUCACAUAAGUACGAUAUUUACCUUCUUUGCUAAUUUGCUCUUAAAUUAGCCGUGUGAUUAUACGAAAGUGAAUUAAUCUCAAAAUCGGUUUAGUCGGCUAGUUUUGAUCUAUCGAUUUUGACGACUCCGUCGAUUAAAUCACAAAUCGUUAGGUGAUCUUGUGUUGGCCAUAAAAAAAGUGUCAACAAUUUCUAUCUCUACUACUUAAAAAGUAGGUUCAAAACAUAAAUCUCUAUCUCUACUACUUAAAAAGUAGAUCUAUAAUUUCUAAAUCUUAAAAAGUAAAUCUCUAUCUCUACUACUUAGAAAGUGGCGAAAAAAACGUAGAUCCAAUUCCCCCUUAAAAUGGGGAAAAAAUCUGAGAAAAAAUAGCGAAGAAAACAACAAAAAUAAAAGAGGUCUGUGUCGACGUUUGAUGUCGCGAUUCCGGUAUUUACAUGGUAUGGGGAUCGUUGGUAUUAGGAUAUAUGCGAGAUUGAGGUAAAAGAGAUGGAGACGAUGAUUUUUAUACAGGUUCGGACCCCUGAAUUGUCAGGUAAUAACCCUACUCCUAUUGGUUGAAGUCGGUCGUUACUCUUAUUCACCAUAAUCACACCAGUACCAUAUUUGGGGUAGCCUAUCUAACUGUUGUCAACUUGGCGGUUUGAAGUUCUGACUCGUAGUCGACAAUAGGGUAGCCUUCCUCCUCGAAUCUGCAUCCGGCGAGAUCAAAGACAGUGCUGUCUCUCCUGACAAUAUCCGUAGAUACCGUGGGGGACUAGUCAUGCUUAUCUCUGAAGUCGAUAUCCGGCGUCUUAUCUUGGCACAUGUUGGCUUGUAUGUUGAUCUUGUGUCUUGAUCUAUUGUUCUGUGUCCCCUCUCCUCCUAGAGGGCCUUGUAUUUAUACCCAUAGGUGUCCUAUUGUCCAAGUAGAACUAGGGAAACCAAUAUGAAUAUAAUCCAAGUAGUCCUUGUCGUUUCCAUGUAUAACUCUAUUCAUCAUUCCUUAUGCGGAACUCCUCCUAUAUUCGAAGGUUGUUUCCGUAUAAGACAUGGUAUGUGGUGGGUCCUGCCGAGAUUUAGUCAACUACUAUUAGGUAUGUGGUAUCCAUAACCCUGACAGUCUGUUUCACCUAAGUGGCGAAAAAUAUCCGUAGAUCCGAACUGGAAAAAAUCCGAUUCCUAAAGAAGGCGAAAAACAAAAAAAAGUGGCAAGAAAAAGGCUAGAUCGGAUUCCUUUAAAAAGAGGGAAAAUAUUCCUAUAAAGGCAAAAAAAACCCAAAAAAAAAUAAAAAAAGUCCGUCCGAUUCCCUAAGAAAGUAGAGAAAAAAGUUCGUAUAAAAUAAAAAAAACGCGUGAGAAAAAAAAAUAAAAAGACGGGAAAAAAGUCCAAUUUGUAUUCAUUUCCGUAUGUAUCUCUUCUCUAUCUUUAAUCUAACCUAACUAUUUAAAAGGAGAAGUUUUUAUCGUACAACUAAAAACAAAAAGUGCACGAGAGAAUAAAAACGCGUGAGAAAAAAGUUAGAAAAAAGGAAAAAAAACACGCUAUAAAAGGUUUCCCAUCUUUCGUAAAAAAUAAAAAAACAUGCGAGAAAAAAUAUUUCCAUCGUCCGUAAAUUUUUUUAAAAAAAACAUGCGAGGAAAAAAUUAUCAGAAAAAAAUGCGCCAUUUCUAAAAAAUGGUUUGAAAAAACUGCGCAAGAAAAAACACCGUCUAUAUAUAAAAAAACAAGCUGCUUUGGAAAAACUGUCAGAAAAAUGCUAAAUUCAUGUACGCUUGAGUUGGAUAGGAUCCAUUGAUUUUUUUUCCAUCUACUACACCAUUCAUAAAAAACAACCCGCUCUGGAAAAACUAUCAGAAAAAACACCGUUUAUAAAAAACGAGUAAAAAAAACAAUUGGAUUCAACACGAGAAAAAAAUCGCUAUUUCUAAAAACAGUUCGAGAAAACCGUCUAACUUAACAUGAGAAAAAAAACUAUCAUUUCUAAAAAAAAAUUAGAGAAAAUCAUCCAACUCAACACGAGAAAAAAAACUAGCGAUUAUAGUAGGCACCGCCCCGAAAACCCGCAUGACUCACGGGAGAUAAGACUGAUGGACGCAUGGGUUGGAUAGGAUCCAUCAAUUUUUUUUCCAUUUCCUACACAACUUUUGUUUUCUCAUCUAUUCUCAUGUAUUGGAGACCCUGCACGUCUCUGUAUGCAAUUGUUAGACUAUUUUUGUUAAGUAUAACUACUAUUCUUAAUAACAUAUGAUAUAGAAAUAAUAUUAAAAAAUAAACAUAUUUUAAUUGCUAUUUAGAGAAGAGUGCACAGUAACUCUAUUUUGUGUUGACUUGACCAUGCAAGGCAGUGUAUGAUUUGAUUGAUUCUAUUAUUGGUUGCAAGAAUGAGAUUGAAAGAGUAUUUUUAGAUUAUAGAUGUAUGUUCUCGCAUGAUUAAUCUAAUUAUUUUAAGUAAAGCACGCAUCAGUCAGGUUGCCACCGUCGAUGUUUUUUUUAGAGAAGGGUAUUUUUUACCCGGCCUCUACCAAGCAGAUCGAAAAUGUUUUACCAAUUAAUUAAUGUCCACCGUCGAUGUUGGACCAUUACAUUGAAGAUGUUUCAAUUUUUUGAUUGUAUUAAUUACAAACGAUCCAUACAAACAUUGUCAUUGAUAUGGUUAUGCAUGAAAAAUAUAUAUUUUGAUUAGAAUUUUUUCACCCGUCACAACACAUGGUUAUUUUUUAUAGUGUAAGUUAUAAGUAUAAGACUUCCGGUGAAAAUUUGGUUCCAUCACGAGUCCAUCAGGAGAAUUAAUUGUCGAUUUUGCUAUAUAUUUGUCGAUAAAUUUUUUCUCAAAAAUUUGACACAUGUAAUUACAGUACAAUCGUAGUGUAAUUACACUGUAACUUGCAUGUAAUUACACUAUAACUAUAGUGUAACUUGUAUGUAACUUUCAAAAAUCUCUCCGUAACAUGUUAUUUCGGUAAAAUUUAGGUCAUGGGAACAAAUUCUUUCACAUAUGUGUGUGCUAUGAUUUGUUUUUUUCCUCACCAAAACAAAUCUUGUAAUAGAUCUAACGAUUCAAAAUUAUGUGAAACUUACAUAUAAGUUACAGUGUAGUUACAUGCAAGUUACAGUGUAAUUACAUAUAAGUUACAGUGUAAUUACAUUACGAUUGUACUAUAAUUACAUCUGUCAAAUUUUUGAGGAAAAAUUUGUUGACAAAUGUAUAGGUAGUCCCUUAAUUGUUCGGCCUUGACCCAAACUCUCUCUGAAUCAAUCUAUCGGCAUUUAUGAAUUGGGAUGUUCUCAUUAUGGGCUGGCUAGGCCUGUUUUGUACCGUGCUAUUACACUAUAUUUCCUAUUUCUGAGCCCCAAUAUGUGAUUAUAAUACUUAAUCUUCCAGGCCUAAGGUUGAUUGGGUAAUUAUUAUUUCAUAACCUAAUUUUGGUUCGAUGUAUCCAUAUAGGGGCAUAUUCAAGGCCCUGGUAUAGCAGAGACUAUUAGUAUCUUAUAAACAGUUAAGACGAUAAAAGACUUAAAUAUAUAAUUAACAUGAAGGUUAAAUGGCAGUCGAACGAUUUUUGAUAUCUAAAUUAUUUGUGUUUCAAUAUAUUCAGAAUUAUUGUUUUAUACGUUGUAGCAAAAUAUUUCAUGAGGUGAUUUAAUUGUGUUUCAGUUAUUUAGAAGAUUGAAACUUUUUCGAUCUACUUGGUGAAAUAUUUUCGAUCCACUUAGCGAAACAGCGCUUGAUUGGCAUCAAAAUGUGCAUGAUGGAAGCUUAAAAAAUCAUGCGAAUCACAUAUAGACUUUUUCUCGAUGUACUUGGAUUUGUUUCAUGUUUCAAUAUUUUCGGAACCGUUAUUUCAUACAUUGUUACAAAAUGUUUCAUGGGGUGACUUGAUUGUGUUCUAGCUUUUUUUAAAAUAUUGGAACAUUUUCGAUCUACUUGGUAAAACAUUUCCGAUCUACUUGGUGAAACACUGCAUGAUGGAAGCAUAAAAAAUCAUGUGAAUCCCAUUUUGAUAGCCCCAUUAAUUAAUACAGUAAAACAAUAUUUUUGUUAUUUUUCUUUCCUUUUCUUCAUUCUUAUACAACGAAAAUUCCUUUUAUAACCGCUAAGAGUCAAUGUUAAGAUGUUGUCAUGCGUAACAACAUGUUGUUUCUCUGUUUACCCUCUUUCGUAGUAAAUGUUAGCAAAGUUACCUUGUUAACAACUCUAACAAUAUGUUAUUAAUUGAUAUUAUACAUGUCCUAACUCCUAAGUCUAUGUAUUGAUCGGGUUAAUUAACCUGCUGUUAUGGUAAUCAAGCAUCCCAUACAUACUUAGGUGGUGUUUGAAUCUUCUGAAGAUGAAGAUGAAGAUUAAGUGUUUCACGUAAAACGAAGUGGUAAUAAUAUAUAAUUAAUUAAGUUUUAAUUAUUACAAACUUGAAAAAUAGAUUAAUCUGAUAUUUUAGAACAACUUUCAUAUAGAAAGUUUUCGCACGAAACACACCGUUUAACAGUUUGAAAAACGUGCCAUUUUAAUCCAAAAUUUUAUCCACCCUUUUAAGUAGAUUCAAACAGGGCCUUAAAAGAAAUAACAGGAAAUUAUUCAUAUCACGUUUCUUCUUUUCUUUUCCACCAAGUAUGAUGGAUCCCCCACGAGUCAUGGAUUUCACCUGUUGCAAUGCACGGGCAUAUUUUUCUAGUGAUAUAUAAAAAUGCUUGUUAAAUUAAAUUGAUAAAAGGCUGUAAGCAUUCUUUUAAAACGGAACCCAAACAUUUAUAGAGUAAUAGGCACGGCCAGGCUCGCAAGAGGUCAAAUUGUAGGCGUCCUUUAGAAAUAGUUGAAAUUCGGAAUUAGAAAAUAAAGAAUAUUAGAAGAGGAGACUAGAGUCCAUAUAAAAAUACAAUUAGGAAAUAAUUGAAAUUCGGAAUUAAAAAUAAGGAAUAUUAGAAGUAGAGUAUAGAGUCCAUAUAGAAAUACUAUUAGGAAAUAAUAGAAAUUCGGAAUUAAAAAUAAGGAAUAUUAGAAAUAGAGUAUAGAGUCCGUAUAGAAAUACAAUUAAGAAAAAAAAAAGAAAUUCAGAAUUAAAAAAAUAAGGAAUAUUAGAUGUAGAGUAUAGAGUCCAUACUAAAAUUCGGAAUAAACAUAAUAAAAUUAAAAGUAGUGUUUAGAGUCCGUAUAAAAAUACAAUUUACAAAUAACUAAUAUUCAAAAUUAAGAAAAACAUGGGAAGAAGAGUUUAAAGUCAAUAUAGGAAUACAAUUUAGAAGUAACUGAAAUUUGAAAUUAAAAAUUAAAGAAUAUUGAAAGAUGAGUUUAGAGUCCACAUAGAAAUACAAUUAGAAAUAAUAAAAAUUCAGAAUUAAAAAAAGAAAUAUUAAAAGAUGAGUCGAAUAUAUAUAAUUUAUAAAUAACUAAAAUUUGAUAAUAAAAAUAAUUAAUAACUAACACGUAUAUAAAAUACAAUAUGAAUAUUGCACAUUAGUAGUUUCGUAAAGUUAUUGCAAAAUUUAAAAUUAUGUUAUCAUUUUAAUAUAUUUGAAUAAUAUAAUGAGAAAACAUAUAUGCUAUUAUAUGAGAGAAAAUAUAAUGUUGCUAGCUGCGCAAUUUGCGCGGGCCACCAUGCUAGUUUUAAAGGAUGGAAUUUCUAAGGAUUAUAUUUUUAAUAUGAUUAGCUAUUAACUUAUUAAAGUAACAGAAAAAUGAUCAUCCAUGUUCGUUCUCAGAGCCUAGAAAUUCUCGUAUUAAUCGGAGAAAAAGAAAAAAGAAAGUUUAUAUAUAUGGUAAUAAAAUUUAAAAAUAACUAAAAUUCAUAAUUAAAAAUAAGGAUUAUUAGGAGAAGAGAGUCUAGAGGCCAUAUAACAAUACAAUUUAGAAAUAACUGAAAUUCAGAAUUAAAAAAAUACAGAAAAAUUAAAAAUAGUUUAGAGUCCAUAUAACAAGUAAAUUCAAAAUUUUAAAAAAUAAAUAAUAUUGGAAGAGAAGUAUAGAGUUCAUAUAGCAACAUAAUUUAUGAAUAAUUAAAAAAUCAGAAUUAAAAAAAUAAAGAACAUUUGAAGAGAAGUAUAUAUAGAGUUCAUAUAGAAAUACAAUUUAAAAAUAAGUGAAAUUCGAAAUUGAAAAAUAAAAAUAUUGAAAGAAGGAUUUAGAGUCUAUAUAUGAACAAAAUUUAUAAAUAACGGAAAUUUGGAACUAAAGGUAAGGAAAUUUGGAAUCAAGAUCGCAUGCACCAUCCGAAUGACGGAUGACAAGGUCAGCGAGAUCGAAUGGAGCCCGUAUUGUCAGCCAGUCAAACCCCACACUUUGUUCAUUGACAGUUCGACACUCGACCUUGUUGCUUGUGCAACUUCGGAGUGUUCUACCCGAGAUUUUCUUCUUCUUCUUUUUGCGAUAGUUCUACCCGAGAUUUUCGUGAAAAUUAAACGACCCUCACCCACGGGCUAUAGUCGCUUUCAAGUUCGUAAGGUGCGGGUGCGGGCCGCAUUCCCGUCGAAUUUGUGUUUUUUGGGUGGAGAACGGAUCCAUACAGGCCAAGUUCCGGAUGAAUAUAGGGGCUGUUUGGUAAACGUCCUGAGGCUUGUAUGCCGCGUGGACAGCUCAGCCAGUAGUCUACCGCAUUUUUCAAGUCGCUUUCACGCCGGUGGGCCACAACACCCAACACCGUUUGCCUAUAUAUACUCUCAUUUUUAUCUCUCUACCAUCUCUGUCCAACCUUCUAAUUCCCUAGUCGGUUUUGAUCGAUCUAUUAUAUUAUUAAAGGAAUAGAAAAAAGAGCCUCCACGUUCGCUCUCAUGGGCUAGAAAUUCUCACAUUAAUCGGAGAAAAAGAAAAGGCAGAGUCCAUAUAGAAAUACAAUUUAGAAAUAGUUGAAAUUCGGAAUUAAAAAAUAAGGAAUAUUAGAAGAGGAAACUAGAGUCCAUAUAGAAAUACAAUUAGGAAAUAACUGAAAUUCGUAAUUAAAAAUAAGAAAUAUUGGAAGUAGAGUAUAGAGUCCAUAUAGAAAUACAAUUAGAAAAUAACUGAAAUUCGGAAUUAAAAAUAAAGAAUAUUAGAAGUAGAGUAUAAAGUCCAUAUAGAAAUACAAUUAGGAAAUAACUAGAAAUUUUAUCAAUACGAAACAAAGUCUACUCAAUACAUGAUAGUUACCCCUAAUCUUUCACGUACAUAAUGAGCAUACAUUUAUGUUGGAUUUCUAAUAGUACUCUUUGAUCAAGGAUGUUUUCCGAUUGGGUGUGGAAUAAAAGGGAAAAAAAACAGAUGCACAGUCCAUGGAAGAGUCCAUCUGGACUCAAGUUCACUUAGCCCAAAUAAUCUUGCCGUCCCGCUAAAGCCACGUGCAUUAAUUCAUCUUGAUAUCAACACCUACACGACAUAUUACUGGGAAAAAAAAGAAAUAAUCGGAGAAAAAGAAAAGGACAGUCCAUGUAGAAAUACAAUUUAAAAAUAACUGAAAUUUGAAAUUUAAAAAAAGCACUAUUGAAAAAAGAGUCCUUAUAAGAACCUAAUACGAGAUUAAUUAAUAUUCAGAAUAAAAAAAUAAAAUAAAAUAAAAUCCGAAAUUAGCAAAAAAAAAGGAAAAAGAAGAGUUCGAGUAGAAAUACAAUUUAAAAAUAACUAAAAUUCGGAAUUAAAAUUAAGCAAUAUUGAAAGAAGAGUCCAUAUAAAACCCAAUACAAGAUUAUUAAAUUUCGGAAUAAAAAAUAAAACAAAUCAAAAUUAGGAAAAAAACAGAAAAGAAGAGUUCAAGUAAUAAUACAAUUUAAAAUUAACUAAAAUUCGGAAUUAAGUACAAGCAAUAUUGAAAUAAAAGUACAUAUAAGAACCCAAUACGAGAUUAAUUAAAAUUCAGAAUAAAAUAAAAUCCAAAAUUAGACAAAUUAAAAAGAGAGUUCAAGUAGGAAUACAAUUUUGAAAAACUGAAAUUGAAAACAAAAAUAAAAAAUUAAAAGAACCCAAACGAUAGUAGUUAAAAUUCGAAAAAUAAGUAAAUAAAAUCUGAAAUUAGAAAAAGGAAAAUAAGAUUUCAACUAGGAAUACAAUUUAUAUAUAACUAAAAUUGGUGUAAAAAAUAAAGACUAUUAAAAGAAAAGACCAUCUAAAACACAUGACGAGAUUAAUUAAGUAACAGACUUAUAAAGGAGUAGAGUGGUGGCGGUUGAUGGGACAUCUAAAAACUAUUAAUAAAACACCAAAUAGAAUACUAAAGAUGAUUAAAAGGAAGGACGAUAGGCAGGUCAUGAAACAAUCGGUCAAGGCGGUUGCCGGGACUUUUAGAAAGUAAAAGAAAAACCAAUGAUAAUCAUAUUUGAUUUUUAAAAUCUCAAUGACAAUAAAAAUUAGAGGCAAUGGGCAGAUCGUAUAGGAGUACAAUGGCAGUGCCGUCGAUGGUUGGUGGGACUUCUAGAAAGUAAAAAAUGAAUUCCAACGAUAGUUAUGUUCAACUUUGACAAUCCUAAUGAUAAUAAAGAGUAGGCGGCGGAUGGGUCAUAGAGGAGUAUAGUGGCAGCGUUUGACGGGAUUUCUCAAAUUAUAUAAAAUGAAACCCAACGAGACAAUAAACUCUAAAAACUAUAAUGUCCAAUUUUUAAAGGUUCGAGCUUCUAAAAAGUGAAAAGAUAAACACCAACGAUAAUCAUUUUUAUUUUAAAAUCUCAAUGAUAAUAACAAAGGGAGGCAGCAGGCGAGUCGCAGAGGAGUACAGUGACAAAGUCGCUGACGUUUUAGCGGAACUUCUAAAAAGUAAAAAAAAUAAACCUAAACGAUAAUUAUGUUUGAUUUUUAAAAUAUCAAUGAAAAGAGAAGAGGCAGUGGACGACCAUAGAGGAGUAUAAUGGUAGUAUUUGACGGGACUUCUAGAAAUUAUAAAAACGAAACCAAAUAGGACAAUAAACUCUAAAAACUAUAAGAUCAAAAUUUUAAAGGUUCCAAGAAGAAUGAAUAGAAACAGUAGUAGACCGAGCAAGCAAAUAAAUAAGGAUAUGACAGAAGUAAGGGGUAGUAGUUGGUGUAACUUUUUAAAACUAUAAAAUUAGAAUUACAAGGAUGGUAAGGUUUGGUAUUUCAAAAUCUUAAGACAACGAGAUAACUAAUUAAUAAAUUUUAAGUAAAGUCAUAUUAAAAAUAUAUAUAAUUUUGUAUGGGUGCUAGCCACGCAAUUGUAUUUUUAUAUGGACUCUAUACUCUACUUCUAAUAUUCCUUAUUUUUAAUUCUGAAUUUCUAUUGUUUCCUAAUUGUAUUUCUAUAUGGACUCUAUACUCUACUUCUAAUAUUCCUUAUUUUUAAUUUUGAAUUUCAGUUAUUUCCUAAUUGUAUUUCUAUAUGGACUCUAGUCUCUUCUUCUAAUAUUUCUUAUAUUUUUAAUUCCGAAUUUCAAUUAUUUCUAAAUUGUAUUUCUAUAUGAACUCUAGUGGCAAGCUGCGAUACUACGCCGGAAGGAAGGAUGCCGAGGCGAGGAGGAAACGGAAGAUUUCGCCAUGUUUUGCCCGCCUCCGCCCACGCGUCCCUUGUUGCCACGCACUACCCGAGUACUCCGCCUAUUUAGGCCCCACCACCACCACCACCCCCCAACUCUCCCCCUCCGACGGCGUCCACCACCCGACCACCUCCCGCACCGUAUAAUCGCUGAUCAUGGUGAACGUUGCUCGCUUGGAUCAGGCCGACGGCGCAGUCGGCGCUGCGUCCAAGAUCGCCGCGGCGCGCGCGCUGGGGGCGUUCGGCCUCGCCACAGCCUCUCUGGCCAUCAAUCUGGCCGCGACACGGGGGCCACCGUCGUGCUUUGGUGACAGCGCCUACUACCACCUCGCUCUCGUGGGAUCCUUCCUCUCCGGAGUGGCACAGGUGGCGGCCGCCGUCUGGGUCGCCGACGACCCUCGCGGCCGCCAUGCCGUCGGCAAGAAAAUCAUGUACGCCUCUAUUGCACCCCUCCUCGUCGCCGCCGGCCUCACCGGAGCGGCUCUGCUCUGGUAAUCCCACCUUGGUUCAUCUACACGUACCAACACCGACAUCGCCGCCGCCGCCUCCUACCGCGCCAGCUUCUCCCUGGAUAGGCGCGAAUGUAUCUUCUCUUAUAUGUAUCUUACUUGUUUCAGUUGUGUGAUGCUGCUUUCUUGCUGUUUGCUGUUUGGGUCAUUAUUCUACCAUCAAUCGAUCACGCUGUUUCCCUCCAUUUCCUGAUGCUGUUGUGUUAUUGAUCAGUGCUCGUAUUGAUGAAUAUGAGAUGAAAGUUUGAGUCCCCAAAUCAACCCCAAAAAAAUCAGCUCAUUUACAGAAGAGUGUAUUUGGAAUUUUGGAGUACCCCGCGAAUUGCGAAGCCGGCGGAGGCGCGCCGACCGGCGAUUAUGGUGUUCGUGAUCACCAAUUCGACAUCCACUUCGUCGCUGCCGCUGGCGGGGCUCCGGCGACGGUGCGCACCGUACGGCCGGCCCGCCGCCGCCUUGUUCUCCCUUGGGAAGAAGUAGCCGCUGUCAUGUGAUGGCCAAAAGGAUUCUUUUUGUGAUUUUUCUAUCCAGUUUUUAAUCAAAGAUUAUGAUUGAAUUGUUUGGAUUUUGGAGGAAAGGUGGGGCAUAUUAAGUGGACCCCACAUGCCACAUAGGAGGGUAUGAGGAUUAGUGGAGGAGGAGACAUCACAGGGUCGCGGUCUCGCGGACUUGCGACUGCGGCGGCCCGAGAGGGCCACGGCCAUGGCGACUUCGCCUUUGCCCUCGCCCUCGCCCUGCACACUCCAAAAAAGUCUCCGUCUCGCUGCUCCGUCUUCCUAACUACAUCCGCUUGCCUCCUCUCUGCCUCAAUUCGCUAAAUCUUGUCGCCGGAAUUUUGCUCGGCCACGAUCCGAUCACUGUCGCCGGAAGCCGUCCUCCGGCCACCCCCUCGCCGUGAAACUGCGCCGGCGGAUCUUGGCCAGGAUCUGGUCGGCAUCGCGGAUGCGGUAUUAAUUGCAACAGAUUUGUGGAUGCUAUGAUGGCCGUGCGCCGUUCAGCUGUUGACUUGUAAGAACACCGCAGCCACCUCUUCUGAUUUGAGUGGUUCAUACAGGUAUCGUGACUUCCUCAAAAAUUUUAUGCAAAUAUGAAAAUAUUUAUGUCAUGCUUAAAGAAUAUUUGAUGAUGAAUCAAGUCACGAUAAAAUAAAUAAUAAUUACAUAAAUUUUUUGAAUAAGACGAAUGGUCAAACGUUGGAUAAAAAGUUAACGGCGUCAUACAUUAAAAUAUGGAGGGAGUAUAUUGAGGAGCCCAACUUUUGUAUAUUUGCCAUUGUCUGUAUUUUUCACAUGUGGGAGACUGGUGAGUAUGACAGUUUUCCUGGCAUGUCAUGUAAUAAUCGGAAUUCGGAAGAUUUGUUAUUAGGAGAGGGAUGCUCAAUCUCCUUUCUAAUAUUAGGCUUUUACCGUUGUUUGUGUGCAAUCUUCAGCCUUUUUCAGACUAGUUAUAACCAUACCAUUUUGUAUAUCAAAAUUUAUGACUAAAUUGCACUAAAUAUUCGUGAUUUAGUGCAUUGUGAUGCUGUGACUGAAUCUGAAAAUUUGGCAGCGAGAAUGAAUAUCAAGUAAUGUUGUGCAUAUCCCCGCAGCCUGGACAUGAUCCAACUAUCACAGUGAGCUCGGCCCAACUAAACUUGGGCUGACUUGGGCAGCUAUCCAUAUUUUCAUGGGUUGACUUGGGCUUACAAAUUUCUCCCAAAACGAUGCCCAAAGCUUUAAUGGGCCAUAAAGUGGCGAUCCAGUUGAGCACGAAUAAAUCGCGUGGUUGAGGUUCGGAGUUUAAUUCGCCAACCCCUGUCUAUGCAAAACUUUUCCAUUGUUUGUUUCAAAAAAAAAAAAAACAUUUCCAUUGUUUGGAGGCAAUAAGAAGAGCUCCAUGAUACAAAUGAUUUCAUCUGAGCACGUAAGGUUGCUUCUACAUAAGGUUUUGUUCCCAUCACACUAUCUCACGAAAGCAAAUUCAAGCUGAUAUAAAACUUCAUUUGCUGAAAACAUCUGAAAAAUGUAAGCGUGGUACUGCAGGUCUGCACCUGCCAUCGGCCAUAUUCGAAUGAACGCAUUGCAGUUGUAAUCCUCGGCGAUGUUGUUGUAUGCAUGAUCUGCCGUGGUGAUAUUAAUGGUUUCUUCUACCUUAUCUAUGAUGUUCAGCACAGCAGCAGUCAACAGUUGAUGACGGAGAUGAUGAAGCCUCCCCUAGCCGUCGCCACCCACUAGAGCUCAGCUAUCUCGGGGCCUUACAGGAGAGAGAGAAAACUGUGGUGGCGGCCGUGUUUUUUUUUUACCUUUUCCACAUGACUAAUAUGAGGGCCCUAUGGUUUUUCUGAUUUCUUCCUAGAAUAUAUAAUUAUCACGUAAACGUCACGUCAGUAUGUGUGUGGACCGAGUCAAAAUGAUAAGUUAAACAAAACCGCUCAAAAAGACCACCGAGAGAGAGUUGAUUUGUACUGAUUUUGAUAAUUAGGGAAUGCUUUUAUACUCAGUUUUGUAAUUGAGGGAUACUAAUCGAUCACAGCAUAUAAGUCGAGGGAUGCAAACACACUUAUGCCCAUCGUUGUGGUCAUAUAUAUUGCGCUCUCUUGAUACUUAAUAAACACGUUAGUUUCUUAAUUAUUUCGUUGGCAACUUUUUGUGACAAGUCGACAAACAUGAUUGUAACAUCUAAACGUCUUGCGGUGAUAUAGAGUCACCAAUCACCUCGAUUUAGCCAAACUUUAGCAGUUUUCCCCUAUUUCAUCCCUAGGUGCUAAAUUUAGGUGUAAAUACAUUUGUCAUGAAUUAUAAAACCCACUAAGAACAUAAAUGCUCUUGGAACUUGAAAGAAAGAAUACCACUUGGCUCUUUUUUUCGCCCCCAUGUAGUUAAGCUGGCAAUUAAUCGUCUUUUUUGUUCGUACUUCAUUUGAAAUAAUGUGUAGGAUCAACAAAACACACAUACAUAAGAUAAAUUCAUUUAUCCAGACAGUAAUUGACAACAUGACGCUGAUACACACACCGAGACUGAAUCGACAAACGCAACCUGCAGGUGCUAGGCAUGCACCGUGAAUUAUUGUCUGCAUAAUAUUUGGCUCUGGUCGAUCGAUCGAUGGCCGGGCGAUGAGAUAUGCUAUAUUUAUAUGGGGCAACUGAAUGAACAAUCUAGCCAGCUCUGUCGUCAAUAAGCCACGCUUACCUAUCAAAGCACGGCGAGCGCGCUGACGGCGACGACGAGCGAGGCGACAGAGGCGUAGACGAAGAACCAGUUGCCGGCGGCGCCGGCACGGCGGGGGUCGUCGGAGACCCAGACGAAAGCGAUAACCUGGGCCACGCCGGCGAGGAAGGUCACCACUGCAAGUGCAAGUGCAAGGUAGGAGUAAUAGGCAGCGCCGUUAUUACCCAAGUCAGCUUGCAGCGGCGUGGUGGUGGUAGCCAAGGUGAUUGCCGCGGAAAUGGUGGCUAAGCCGAGCACCCACAGCGCCGCGUCCACGUUGGCCUCCGCUUCGUCCCGCCGAGUAACAGCCACCACCAUAUCUUGAUUAAUUUCGAAGACUAAUUUGAGAUCGAAGCUAGAAUUAAGGCCCAAAGAAAUAAAUACUAGAGUUUGCUUCUAUCAAAUUUGCUAGAGUUUCCCCCUUCUUCAAGUAUUGCAUCGAUCUUCCUCGAAGAGAUAUGUAUAUAUAUAAUCACGUAUUACUACUAGCUGCCAUGAGUUUUCUGUGGGUCGUCGUUGCACAAAAUCACGGUGCGUUUGACUGACUCGGUAUCGGGGUGUACCCGGGCUCUACUCGACUCAUCUGACCGACACGGCGGGGCCCACCAGACGUGGGCCCGCUUGUCAUUCGGAUGGUGCAUAACAUACACCGCAGCGACACCGGCGGUUGGGACAUGAAGACAGCUGCGUAUAGGCGUCGUGAGUGGUGUUUCUGUGGACGGGGAGGGGUGGAGGUUUACUGUACAGCUAGCAUCCGCUAAGGGCAGGUACGCGGCGAAACGCAGCCUGCAGAUAUUUUAUGUACUUCGUUGGGCAGACAGGAUCGAGUAGGACCGUAUGCAGUGACGCAGCCAAAAAGAACCGCCUUCGGCCGCGUUCAGACUGCUCAUCUCAUAUGUAUAGUUGGACCGGAACGGAGGCUAUGUUUAGAUUCCAAUUUUUUUCUUUAAACUUUUAACUUUUCUGUCAUAUCGAACUUUUCUACAUACAUAAAUUUUCAACUUUUCCGUUACAUCGUUCCAAUUUUAGCGUGGAACUAAACACAGCCGGAGUGUCGGAGUCACCAAUUAACCACGUGAAGCCCAUAAUAAUUUGGCCACGUUAGGGAUCGCAAUAUACAUGUUAGGGUGAAUCAGGGCUGCGGUCCAAUAUCGCGUGAACAGUCGAGGGUUCCAUUUUCCCCAAAUUCUAGUGGCACGCAGGCUAUAUCGUAAAUUGUAAUGGUAUUUAUCUAAAAUGAUUAACCCAGACAAAAACAUUUAGUUGGGCUAGAAUGGAUCUAGUUGCAAACUACGUGGACCCCAUAAGGAAUAAGUUCACUUGAGGUCCAUUAACUUUACACUGAAUUUAAUUUUUAUCCUUGAACCGAAAAACCAGAUAUAACAGGUCCCUAACUUACAAAACCAGUGCAAACGAGUUUCCUCGGCAGUAUUGUCCUCGAUUUUAGCUGACGCGGCGCCUACGUGGCUCUUUUGACUAGGUCUUCGUUCCACAUGACGCUAAUGUGGCAGUAUGACCUAAAUAAAAAAAUAAAAAGUGGGCCCACAUGUUAGUUACAUCAUAAGAUUAAAAAAUGGUGGGACCCACAUGUCAAUAAUACAACGUUAUCUUCCACCUCCCCCACACUCUCCCCUCUGUUCCCCGAGAGGGAGAAGAAGAGGAGUGCCUCGAUCGCAUCCCCACCCUAUUAGCUAGGUUUCUGUUCCGCCUCUGCCUUUGCCUCUACUUCUCCUCCUCCUCACCGUCGCCGCCGCAGAAUCGAUGGAGUGGCAGGCGCAGCUGACAAGGAGAAGGACAACAGCCGGCAAUCGACAGGGAGCAGCGCGACUGGCGGUAGGCAGGAGCUAUGUGACGGCUGUGACGUCCGAGCUCAACCGCCGCUGGGAGGUCUAGGAGCCUCUGCUCCCACAUCGCCGCUGCGGGCCUCCUCCGUUUUUGGACUUGGACUUGGAAGAGCUCGUCGGCCUCUCAGCCCUCCUCGCUGCCUCCUCGUCCCCCUUGCCGGCCUCCCAACCUCCUCCCUCUCUGUGCGUGCUUGCCGGCUUCCCUGCCGCCUCCUCUCAGCGCGCUCUCACUGGCAUCCUCAUCCCCCAGCCAGUCUGCGCCAUUGCUCCCUCUCUGCGAGUGCUGAGAAGAUAGAGAGGGUGAGCUGGAGAAAGUGGGAUCCACUGACAUGUGGGUCCCACUAUUUAUUUUAUCCUUUUGUUUGACUGACAUGUGGGUCCCAUAUAUUUUGGUUUAAUUUUUAAAAUUUUACUCCUAGUGCCACGUGGGUGCCACGUCAGCCAAAACCGAUGACAAUAUAAUACUGUUAAGGGACCUUGUUCGCACUGGUUUUGUACGUUAGGGGGGCCAUUGUAUCUGGUUUUUGGGCUCAAGGAUGAAAAUCGAAUUCGGUAUAAAGUUAAGGGGCCUCAAUUGAACUUAUUGCACCCCAUAAUAAUUGCCGUUAGGGAUCGCAACACAGGUUCGGGCCAGCAGAGGGUGAACCAUCGCGUGGGCCGCAGCCCAAUAUAUAUACAGGUCGUGUACUCACUGGGGGUGGUUUUCAUGGGUUUGUAUUUCUGUACAUUAGAAGAGUUGUUACGAGUGGCAUGGGCAAAUUCCAUUGUAAGGUGUUUAUAGUUCCUUGCACGUGCACGAUAUCUAGUAGUUAUAAAUUACUAAUUUCUAUGCCAACAUUUAUAUUAAACCGAGUUCACAAAUUUCUGUUGGUUGCGCUGAAAAAUGUACUGGUUGCAUUGCAAAACUGCCGAUGUGUAGCAAAACAUCCAGGAGUUGAUGCUUUAUGCUGCCGUGAUCGAUUCUGAAAGCUUGGCAGCAAGAGAUAGGGUAAAUGUUGUGCGUAUUUUUUCCUGCAGCUGUGUACUAGUAGGCUCUUAAGAGUUAAGUUCGGGGCUAAUCUCUAAUAUCGAAUUCUAUGCGGAUUCCCGUGCAAAUAGCACCUCCACGUGGCGCGGCCAGAUUCACGGAUUCGCUCCCACGCACAGCCGUCCGAUUGCAUUUCAACGGUGAGAGAUCGUUGUGGUGGAGCCUGUUGUAAUAUACGAGAAUCGAGGGGUUUUCUUACAAAAGCACUCAAUCCCCCCAUCAUCCGUCUCCUCUCCAGCGUCACCGCCGCCUGAUUCAGCACAUCCGCCGCGUCACCGCCGCUGACCUUCGCCCUGACCUCCUCCCCGCUGCACCGAAGCCUCUCUAUCCCCUGCGCCUCCACAUGUCGCGGCUACGCGGGCAUCUCGUUGGAUCUAUCAUCGGCGGCGAGGAGGCGUGGCGAUGGUGCCGAGGUUCAUCGGCCGGUGGAGGAACAUCGUCGACUUGAGGACCGUGCCCAGGUUCCGCAUGGUCCCCAACUACUGCCACCCCGUGGGAGCCGCCGAGGGGGGCAACAACUAUGGCUUUCAGAUGAUAGUUUGAUCAUGCACACAAUGCGUUCGACGAAAUGUCCAUGGGCAUUCAUGGGUGUGGCUGGCGCCCUGAUGAUGCUCAAUCCUACCUUCCUCGUUGGAUUACUUUGGUGUUGGUCGAAGCAUUGGCCGACCAAGGAAUGUGCUGCCAGGAGUUACAAUGGUGGACUCACGUCUUAGAGGGCAGUUCCCUUCUGACUCAUAUGGUGACAUACCGUGGCGUGCCGUGAAAACCUGAGAUUGGCAAAUGGCUUACUAAGUGUGAUGCCGGCGUGUCUUUGUCACUGACCAAUUCGGAUUGCUUGAGCUUUCCCUGGAUUAAUUUGGUUGUUCUUCUGAAACGGUUUAUAGGUGCAAAGGGGUGCGAGCAAGACUACAAUGGACAAGGUGUGUGCAACUAUGAGCUGGGAUAAUGGAGAUGCUUUCAUGGAUAUGUUGGUAAGUACUACUUUGUCAGCUCAAUUAAUGUGUUAAUCUUGUUCACACUUGAUUAAUGAAAUUGCGAUUUCACAUGGAAUUUAACAAGGUUGGGUUUUAAUCACACUCCAUUUUUUAGCACCAUCCAAAAAAUCUUUAAGAUUGUUUUAGUAAUUUAUCUACUCCGUACAUAAUAUCAAGAUAAAUAGGCAUAGUUUAUGAACCUUUGAAUUCUGCACCUGUUCCAUACUAAGAAGCAAAUAAGAAAGAAACAAAUAAAUACUCCAGUUGGUUAGUGUGUUUGCUCAUAUAUGCCAUUCUUAAGAAAAACAUCAGUUUAUAUAUUUAUUUAUGUCCUAUUUAGUUUGCUGUCUAUCAACUCUUCAAAAAUUAUGGAUAAACUGUGCUACUUCAAUUCUUUGCUUUUGAUCAAAUGACAGCCCUUGCUCUUUCCAACAACUCUAUUGACAAAGAUGUUAAACAUAUUUUGCCCAACACUACAACUUUUGCUCCUUAGUUCUGGAAAUGAUAUUGUAUACUCUAUAAACCAAGCUAAUUCUUCAUUUGACUUAUGGAUAUACCAUCAUAGAAAUAGUAUAAGGAGACAGUUGCAUAUUAUUACUACACUUAUUUUUUGAAUAUAUAUUUCAUCAUUGUACAUAUAUAUAUUUAGACAGCUCAAUUAUAUAUCUUUCUGACAAUUGCUAACACAAUAUUUAUUAUAACAAAGUUUGCUUGGAAAUAACAUAAUAAAGGAUAUAAUGAGGCAAUAAGAACUGUGCGUGGAGGGCCGGAAGAUGAUGUCUGUCAUGGCCGGCAAGAUGGACGAGCUCUGGAUAGGGCGUAUGGAGUGGUGCGUGCUGGAAUGUAACAAGAACGCCAUCAACUUCUACGAGGGAAUGGGCGAGCCACGCAGGUGUGCUCCCGUAAUGGCACAUAUACAGACUCACUGGCGCUGCACACUGGAAAGUACAAUGGGACUAAGAGAAGGGCAAUGGGGCGAAAUAGAUCGGUGGUUGAUUCUUAGUUGUCCAGUCUCAAGUAAUAAAGAAACCGGAGAUGUGUGAUUUAGGGUAUUGGAUAAGUUCGUGAUGUCUUAGCUUGAUGUUCUUUCAAAUGUAGUACACAAUCUUUGCAGAAGGUUAAGGGAAAAUAAACAAAUUCUUAAAUUAUAGGAAAAGGCAAAAAAAGAUAAUUCAGGAGAGUCACAAGCCCCAUUGCAUAACAAGCCCAAAACUGAAUGUUGGAGACACUCUAGAUCAAAACGUUAGCAAGCGGAAAUGGUAUACUGUUAUACCUAAUUUUAUAAAAUUAUUUUAUCUCUAACCUUUUUACAUUUCCUUUUUACCUUGUUGCAAUUACUGACAAUCACCCAAUUACUGGACUUUGCAGAUGACAUCGAAAAAAUCCUAGGAAACACUAACAAGCAUCCAUUCAGGACAAUACAUUUUUUUUCAUGCUAGCAAUGGUGUUGUUUUUUUCUUGCACAAUUUUCAUCUCAAGUCCCAACGACUAUUUAUUUAAUUCGUUAUUAAGGAAAAAAUUGAUGGAUGCUUUAUCUAGACCUCUAUGUACACUAAUAUCAAACAAAUCUAAGCUAUAGAUAAAUUAGAAUUAGAUUGGCCUAAUAUCAAUUGGGCGUGGCAAAGACGCGCCAUUAUUUCUAGUACUCAUGUUAACCUGUGCAAAGCUGACAACCAUUAUGGUUGGGAAUAAGUUCACUUUAGGUCCCUAAAUUUGUACCUAGUCUGAUUUUCAUCCUCAGUAUAGAAAAUCGGAUACAACGCAUCCCUCAACUUACAAAACCGUGCAGAAAAGGUCCCUCAGCAGUAUUAUGCCCGGUUUUAAACGAUGUGGCGCCUACGUGGCUCCCUUUGACUAGGUCCUCGUCCCACGUGGCAUUGACGUGGCGCUCAUGUGGCAAUUGGAUCCCGGGAAAAUAAUAAAAAACCGUGGGACCCACAUGUCAGCCACAUAAAAACAAUAAGAAAAGGUGGGGCCCAUGUGGUCCCACAUGUCAGCCCCCUCUCCUCUCUAUCCCCCCCCACUCUCUCGGUCUCGUACAGAACGGCGAGCGGUGGUGCAGAGGGGAGCGGUGGGCGGACGACGGCAGGCGACGGACGAGGAAGGAGGCGGCGGGUGGCCAGGCGAGGAGGGAGGCGGCGCGGCGGCCGGAAGAGGAAGGAGGCGACACGCGGCGGCCGGGCAAGGAGGGGCGGUGCGCGGCGGCUGGGCAUCGCGGGCGGAGCGGCCGACGGCGUGGAGCUGCCGCGCUCGCUAGAAAAGGGAUGGCAGGCUCCGGUUCCUGGUGCGGAGCCCGCAAUCGUGCUCAUCUUCAACGCCUCCGCUCGUCUGCCGUCAGCGUCCUCUCCGUCUUCGCCUUCGAUGUCGAGGGCGUAGAUGUCCGCCUUCGACGGUUGUCAUCGUUGCCGUCAGGAGGAGGAAGAGGCAGAGGAAAAGGUCGCCGUCAGCGGUUGUCGUCGUUGCCGCGAUGUCCAGCCACCGCGUGCCGUCCCUCCUCGCCCGGCCGCCGCGCGCCGCCUCCCUCCUCGCCCGGCUGCCACGAGCUGCCCCUCCUCGGGGCGGAGCUAGCACAAAAUGAAGGGGGGUUCCACUUGUUUGCUUUACUCUAGUUUGAAUCAAAUUUAGCUUAAUACGAGUGCCUAACUUUGAACUGACAGAGUAUAUAUAUGGUGAAAAUAGACAAACUAUAGCUAAAAUUUUGUUUGAACCGGGUUCCUGGGCACCCCCCUAGCUAUACAUAGCUCCGCCCCCUGCCUCCUCGCUCGGCCUUCGCCCACUGCUCCCCUCUACGCCGCCGCUCGCCGCUCUGUACGAGACUGGGAGAGAGAGAGAGGGGGGGGAUAGAGAGGAGAGGGGGCUGACAUGUGGGACCACAUGGGCCCCACCUUUUCUUAUUGUUUUUGUGUGGCUGACAUGUGGGUCCCAUGGUUUACUAUUAUUUUUCUGGGAUUCAAUUGCCACAUAAGCACCACGUCAAUGCCACGUGGGACGAGGACAUAGUCAAAGGGAGCCACGUAGGCGCCACGUCAUCCAAAACCGGGCAUAGUACUGCCGAGGGACCUUUUCUGUACGGUUUUGUAAGUUGAGGAAUGCGUUGUAUUCGGUUUUUUAGACUGAGUAUGAAAAUUAGACUGGGGGACAAAUUGAGGGACCCAAAGUGAUUCCUUAUGGUUGUGAUAGGCUGACAGAAAUGACGCUGUGGGGAAGGCCGGAGAAACCCACAACUUGAAGCCCAGCAUUGGGCCCUGGACACGGCCAUACAGUCCACGCAGGCCCAUCGAAAAUUCUAGUUUCAAGUCAGUCGCAACCAUUGGUUGCGAUCCAAUUUUAUGUGGGCUGCGACGUCUCCCGGAUGCCUGGCCCAAGCGAGCGCGGAAUCAUUUGGGUAGCUUUGUGCAGUUCUUUUUCUUCCGGUGAUCUGUUUGCGUCUUGAUGCGAUAUUCUCCACAAUCUCCACUACUCAGUAUAAGCUAGUUUGCUCUAUAUUUUGAAUUUUCCAUGUUUCAGCAUUUCAAAUGUGCAAUAGAAUAAUUAAAAAUGUUUCAUCGAAUGGAAGCUGUUGCCUGUGAAAUUGUCAUAUUGUGCUUCAUGAUUAUGGUUUUUCUGCAAUAUUUUUUUUCCGGAUAUGCCUUAUACGUUUGCAUGGGAGGAGAAAAUAUGAUAGGUAGGCCUACCAAUUUUUAAAAUAUAAUUGUUGAAUGUUGUGCGCAAGUUAUGUAGGACCAAAACCACUUUGGAUUGAGAGGGGGUGGAGGCUUAUUUGGUUUGAGCAGUUGGGUGUGUCAAUGUGUCUUGUAUUCAAGUUCAUGGCUUAAUUAGGUCGAUCGCAGUAGUUUAGGGGUUAAUUCAGGCUUUUCUCUUAUAAUAAAAUAAUAUGUUGGGUGUUCAGUAGUUAAUUGUUAUGUUUUUGUGGUUCGCUUAAUCUCCAUAAGAAAGUAUUAGAGGGAUUAAUUCCACAUCAUAAUAGCAGUUGGGUGAAGGAUUGAACAAACAAGACCAAUUCUUGGAAGGAAACAAUACCACAGGCAAUCUUAUUGGUCAAGAAAGAAAGAGAUAAUUAUCGGUAUAAAAACUAAUUUGAAUCCUAUUUAAAGAUACGCCCUCGAGCUCUACCAAAGUCAAAAAUAAAAGGAGGAGAGAAAGAGAGAGCGUGUGUUAAUUUAUUCCCGUCUUCACGUACAAUCUCUCAGCUGAUCGGUCGAUCAGAAGAAAAAGGAGGCCGGCAGAAAAGCCCCCGGCCGGGGAUGACGUCACCAACGUGUCAUCCUACCGGUGGUGGACUGUGGAGUGUGGACGAAACGAUUUGAGAGAACCGAAGUGGAGUAAAAUACUAUGUGGGCCAUGUAUUUAUGGGAAAUUCGCGGUCAGAAAAGCCGGGGAAAUGGCGACCCCAACGUGUGCCCCGAACGAAAAAGGAAAAACACGGGACGGGUCGACGUGUGCCCGAAGGCCGAACGUAUAAAAAAAGCCGGUGUUGAAUCAAACGGCAGAAUUAUGCGAGUUCGCAGAAGCUUCCUUGUUUAAAGACAUGAUCGUCAUUUGGGCUUUUCGGUUAAGGCCAUGUUUACUUCCAAAAACUUUUUCCCAAAAACAUCAUUUUAAAUCUUUAGACACAUAUAUGGAGUAUUAAAUAUAGAUAAAUUAAAAAACUAAUUACACAGUUAAGAGAAAAAUCAUAAGAUGAAUCUUUUGAGCCUAAUUAGUCCAUGAUUAGCCAUAAGUGCUACAGUAAUCCACAUGUGCUAGUGACGGAUUAAUUAAACUCAAAAGAUGCGUUUUGCGGUUUACUUAUGAAAUUAGUUUUUUCAUUCGUGUCAAAACCCCUUCCGACAUCCGGUCAAACGUCCGACUUGACACCCAAAAAUUUUCUUUUCGCGAACUAAACAGACCCUAAGAGCAAGUUUAGGGGGUGUUUGGGAGAGAAGGGCUAAACCCCUUAAUAGUAUACUCCAAAUCUUAUAUAACCAAUCUAUCGCGUUCAAACUUGCAGUCGAAUGGCUGACCUGUACAUGAAGCACAGUCCAGUGACAGACAGACUACCGAAACAGCCCAUAAUUAGUUAUCCUACGUGCGGCAGAGUACUAAGAGUAUCUGGAAUGACCGAAUGACAAGUGGGCCCAGAACAGAAAGGUCCCGCCGUGUCAGUGGGAGACUGGGAGGCCCAUGCCCAUGUGCGACUUUCGUCUGACUUUCUUCUGACCUUUUUUUUAAGUGUGUGCACGCUCGCGUCCUCAAGCAAAAUUUUCUACUGACAUUUCUUGUUUGUGUUUGCGUUGUCAUCUAUAUAUAUUUCUUCCUCCGCCUAUCUUCUGAGCAUAUGUUUUGCACCUCCAGCUCCAGCAACCAAGCCACCCCAACUCCGACGGUCCCUCCCACAGGUCUCUCUCUCUCCCCCUCUUCUGUAGUUCACGAGGAGAAGAUCGGGCAGCCACGAAUCGGUCGAGAGAUUUAAUGGCGGCGGCAAAGCUACUGUUGGGUGAUGCUCGCCGCGAACCGGAGGCUAAGAUCGCCUCCGCUCUGGGCGCGCUCGGCGUCGCCGCCAUCUCCAUGGCCACCACUUUGGCCGCAGAGUUCGAGCCGUCGCCGGGCGGCCUCCGCACAACCACCUACAACCACCUCGCUGUCGCGGGGCUCGCAGGGACCUUCCUUGGCGGGGUGGCCCUGGUCGGUGCUUCAGUCUGGGUGUCCGACAACCCAGCUGCCCGCCGUGCAGCCGGAAAGAAGUUGCUCUACUUCGCCGCCCCGCCGCUCCUCGCCGCGGUCGUUCUAUCGGUGGCGGCGCUGCUCUGGUAAGUGCCGCAAAGGCUCAUGUACUACAAGCCCCCCCUGUCCGGCCGCAUCACUAUCUUGUUGGAGCUGUAUUGUCAUCGUGUAAUAGUGCGUGUUUCUUCUAGUUCUAGUCCAUUGUGUGUAUCACCAAUGUAUGAUCACGUCUCCUUCUGUUCUUGGUCUGUCAAAGUGUUGUUCGUAUGAUGGCCGGCUUAAUCGACGAGUGUUUUGUUAAUUAUGAGUUCAUAUCUCGCAAUUUCAAGCAAAUGGGGAGCUAUUUAGUACUAGUUUUCAGCUUAAUUACAUUUAGGGAAGAGUGGAUUCGGAGUACUCCAUGCAUAUCGGCGCCGCCGCCGGCGACAGCAUGGCGGGCGUUUCUCAUCAAUUGCGCCACCGCUGCCGCCCCCAUAGCAGUACUACUACUGUCUCGGUGGCGCUGGGGGACUGCGUUGCCCUGGAGGCGGCAGAGUGGUGGCGUCUCUCCACGCCGCUCGCCGUCGCCGCCGACGCCGACGCUGAAUAGUUCUGGAAGUUUGCCUUGUCGGCCGUCGUGUCCUUCUGCCGCUAAAAGCCCAUCUUUUUCUCCUUUUUCUUUUCUUUUCUUUUUUUUUUUGGGGCAACUGUUAGAAGAGAGGGAAGGGUGGGCCAUAUUUAAGUGGGGCCCACAUGCCGUAUCAUAUCCAUGACCUUUGUCCUUGCGUUGCCGCCGGCGGCGGCGGCUACGGCCAUGGAGAUCUCACGCGACCAUUUGCCGGUGAGGUCGGCUGCUCCGCCUCCGCCUCGGCAUCUACGCCUGAUUGGAUCCCCACCCCUAUCUCCACUGACUGUGCUAUCGCGUUUCCGGCGGUGGUUGAUCGAGGCGGUAGCCCGUGCGGCGCGCGAGAUUCCGCCCGUCCACGGAUUUCCGGUCGCCAUCGCGGGGAUUCGUCUUCUCCGGCCAACCCCUCGCUGCGCGAUCCUGCGCCGCCCGUCCUCGGGCAGGAUCUGGUCGGGGUCGCUUGUGGUAGGUGUUGGGGGGGCACUUGGGUUUGGAGGACAGCAUCGUUGAUGUGCUUUGACUUUGAGUUCCUUGCUAAUUUAGUUAUGCUGACUGUUCCCAUAAUCCCUAAAAUCCCAGCAGUUGCGUUGUGUGGUAGGUUAUGUAAAGCGCAUUCCUGUGAUGAAAAAUAGACCCUGGGAGACAUAUAAUCACUUGUAUCAAGCGAUCCACACACUAGGCCCCCAAAUAUUGUCGUAGAUACCAUUUUCUCUUCAGUAUGCUGCUUAAAAUGCAAAUUGUAAGCUUUUCGCUGUGCUGUCCAGCUACAUCUAGUUCCUUAUGUUUAAAGACUGAUAUUGGUCUUUGCCUCUUUGGUUGUGUGUGAUGUGCUUCUUUUUAAUCGCAACACUUGAUCUUUACUAUCGGUGCAUAUUUAGUUCCAGUAUGUCCUUUUAGUUAAGUUGCUGAAGCAUUGAGCAUCUUGUCAUGUUGAUCUUCUUAUGAGUGGUUCAAGAUGGUUUGUUCUGUUUUAAUGGAAGUAAAAAAUGGGGCCUGUCCCCUCCUAAUGGGAAGAGAAAAGGAGAUGUAUUUCAGCAACCAUGUGUUAUAGUAUAAUCCAAAUAGUUCGCUAAGCUACGUUAUAUCCUGUUCUGAGUAUUUAUUUGAUUUGCUGCAAAGUUAUUAAAUUUAUGGCAUUGUUAUACAUGAUUUGUACUUGAUUAUAUGUUGCUAUUGGUGAUUCAUGUAAUUAGAGCUGAAUGGGAUUUUUGCUACAUACACAUUGCUUCUUUCAACAACCCUUAUGCAAACAAAAUUAAAGGACUGGUUUCUCUGCUGUGCUGAUUUCCAUUGUUCCCUAGCUGAAGCUUAAGUAAUUGCAAAAUUUGUAGGAACUCAUCUGUUCUUUUGCUCUUACAAUAAAUGUGAGGUUUGUAUUCGAGCUACACUCAUGCUAUGUGCAUGCGCUCUGUCUAUCUGAACCAAUAGACUUUUGUAAAUACAUUUGCACAAGGCAUUGAGGUCAACUAAAAUUCUACUAUGCCCAAUGGUGCAGCCAUAUUUCAUACAUGAAUAUGGCUAUCGCUUUGUCUGAUAGGUUAUGGACUGUGAACUCUAUGUGUUUAUUUUGAUGUGGAAUGGCCUCAGGGCAACGCAGGAUAACUCAUACAUGCAAUCCAUACACUAGGUCCUGAAAUAUUUUCUUAAUGCCCUUUUCUCUUUUCACUAUACUCUACUUGUUAAACUUCUAAGAAAAGGCUUAUCCCUCUACCGUUCUAUUACAUCUAUAAUUCAUUUGUUUUGAUGUCAAAAGCAGUGUAUUGAGCUGUAUAUCUUGUUGGAGCAAUUUUACAUUCCUUGAGGAGGUACCAUGGGGUACCAAAAAAUUUAAUGUAAAAUUUGGUACCUGAUAGUACCUAGGUAUCAAGAGAUACUAAAUUUACAAUAGAAAAAAUAGUACCUCAUGGUACCUCCUCAAGGACUGUAAAAUUACUCAUUUUGUUGUGAUAUACUCUAGCUCAUUGUAGUUAGUGUUUUGACUUAUUGCUAAACCCUUGGGAGCAUCUCAUAAUGUUUAACUCUGAUGAAUUGUUUGAGAUGACUUUUUUUUUUGUCUAGAUGAAUAGUGGCAUCGCAACCCCAGGCAAGAGCACUAGGGCCUAGAGGUAUUCCUAGAAACUUAGGAGCAAAUGGACAAAGAUGUAGCAGGACCAGAGCAGAGGACAUUUGGCAGCUUUGAAAUACCAUAAUGCAUCUCGUAAAAAAUAUUCAACUUUUAAAAUUUGUACUAUGUAAUAGACUAAUAGGUGGUUAAAUUCUGUUCUUCUGAGUGAUAGAAUUGCAGAUUGUAAAUCAAUAUCUACUUGUACAAAAGAUGAGUAAAUCUUUUGCUCAUUCUUAUCUACUCCUUUUUUAUUUGUCAAAAUGAAUAGGAAUAGCAGGGUGCCUUUAAAGUAUAAUCGAAAGAGUUGGUAAAUUUUAAUAUACUUCUGAAAGAAUCAUCAUCCUUUUGUCAUUAUCUUUUUCAUGUAUUGAACAACAGAUUUGCACAUAUGUAUUUUUACCAUCAGUAACAGCUCUUUAUUAACGGAUAGUAUAUUGUUCUGCUUUUAUGUAGGGGGAUGUUGAGUUGUAAGAAGACCAGAUGCAUCUGCUCUGAUUUUAGUGGCAUGUAUAACUAUAACCUGUCAAAGAGCAGCAAAAGAAAUGCCUCGUAGCUGUGUGAUACAUAACUUUGCCAGGAUAUCUCUCUGUUUAUGCACACAGACUGCUAUGGCAUUUUUAACCGUUUGCUCAGUUGCUCUUACGUGCAUUUCUGCUGGCAUAAGAUGGUGGCAUGGUGGAGGUUCUGUUGUUAAACCCUGGUAUCAGGACUUGAUCGAGCAAUUUGGUAUGUUCGGUGAAAAUUCAUGCUCAUUUGAGUGAUUGUACAGUACUCCGAAGUUGGUGUUUUCUAUGCUCCGGUAAUUGUGGAUCACUGGUAUAAUGAGGAAAUCAACCUAACGUAUAAUUGCCAUGGUCUGUAUUUGUGUGUAUGUGGAGACUGGUGUGUGUACUAAUUUUCUGGAAUGUCAUUUAAUCAGAAGAGUUGUUUAGAAGAGGCAUAGGCAAAUUCUCUUGUAAGGCUUAUGUAGUUCGAGUGUUUAACAUGGUUAUAACAGUAGUGUUUUCUAUGACGACAUUUAUGAUUAAACUGUGUCUACAAUUCCUGCCUUUUGUGCAGAAAAAGAAAAGCACUGAUAAAACAUCCUAGAGUUGAGUGCAUUGCGCUGCUGCGACUGAUUCUAAAAGCUUGACAGCAAGAGUUAGAAUAGAGCAAUAUUCUGCAUAAUUUUCCUGCAUCUGUGAAUUUUGCUACUCUUGUACUCCCUCCGUCCCAAAAUAUAACAAUUUUUACUUAGAUGGGAUGUAUCAUAUUACUACGAAUCUAGAUAUGAGACAUGUCCAAAUUCAUAGUAGUAGGAUAUGUCCCAUCUUAAAAAAAUAUAUAUUAUAUUUUGGGAGGGAGAGAGUAAAACAUGUGCUCGGGUGUGCAAACCUGACAGCCAUUAUGGCUCUGAUAACUCAUGCUCCCUCCGUCUCACGAUAUAAGGGAUUUUCAGUUUUUGCUUGUAACGUUUGACCACUCGUCUUAUUCAAAUUUUUUUUGCAAAUAUAAAAAAUAAAAAGUUGUGCUUAAAGUACUAUAGAUAAUAAAGUAAGUCACAAAUAAAAUAAUUAAUAAUUUCAAAAAAAUUUGAAUAAGAUGAGUGGUCAAACGUUACAAGCAAAAACUCAAAAUCUCUUAUAUUAUGGGACGGAGGGGGUAGUUGCUAUGCCUAUAUUUUGUCGGGUGAGCUGGUGGUGGUACGUUUGGUUUAGGGUUUAGAGCUGACUCUGGUGGAGACCCUUUCGGGACGUUGCAUCAGCUACAGCCUACAGGGUUGCGCGUUUGUUGGGCCGAAUAUUGAAGUGCGUGGGCCGUGGGCCGUGGCCAGGACGGCGGAUGGAUCAUCCUCGUGACGUAUCUCUUCCCCUCGACCAACAAUUAACGAGUUGCGGGUGGCGGCGUUGAAGCAGCUGGACUUUUUUUUUUUUUUUGCUAUAUAUAGGGCAUGUUUGGCACAAGCUUCAGCUCCACCUCUCUUAGAGCUGGAGCUCAGCCAAACAGUUUUAGCUCCACCUAAAAUGGGAGCAGAGCUGGGUGGAGCUCUCACAAAAUAAACUAGAGUUGUGGAGCUGGGUUUAGACAGCUCCACAACUCCACUCCAGACCCAACUCCUAGAGCUAAAUUUAGGAGUUGGAGCUCUAUCAAACAGGCCCAUAAAGUCAAUUUUGCUAUAUCUCACUCGAAAGAUUUCUUUUAUCUCUCACUCAAAUUUACAGUGUAUUUUCUUGUAAUUUAUGAAAUUUACAUGGUAACUUUUGUUUUGAAAUUUAUAUUGGAUUUGGUCUUUUUCUCGAAGAUAUGGUAAUUUAGUAUCCAUUAUGAUGUUUCUUAGUUGCUUUUUGCUUUUUACUAUGUCUAUUGGAUUUUAAUCUAAAAAUUUAAAAUAUGUGUGAAAAGAUUUAUAGCUACUCCCAUAUAAAGUUCUAUUUUUCUAACUUGCUGAUCUUGAGAUUUUUUUUCAUCGAAAUUUAUUUUUCAACAUUUGCUUUUAGAUCGCUAAGAACACAUAUAAAAGUUUUAUUUACAAAUUAUUUUUUGCUUGCAAAUAUGUCGGGCCCUUUUUUUGUUUUUGUUUUUAUCUUUAUAAUAUUCGUUGCAGUUUGCAAAACACGGGAAUUUAGAUAGUUAUGUAAAAGAUGUCAAAGAGACAUGAUGCGGUCUGACAGUCCAACGUAAGGAAGCUUCGUAGCGCAACUAUGGGGAUGUUCAUAAAUCUAGGUGAAAAGUUUUACCGUGUCACAUCGGAUAUAUGAGCACAUAUUUAAAUUAUUAAACAUAGUCUAAUAAUAAAACAACCUAUAGAUUCCGUCCGUAAACUGCGAGACGAAUUUAUUAAGCCUAAUUAAUCCAUCAAUAGUAAAUGUUUACUGUAGCACUACAUUAUCAAAUCAUGGAGCAAUUAAGCUUAAAAGAUUUGUCUCGUAAACUAGUCGCAAUUUGUGCCAUUAGUUAUUUUUUAGCCUAUAUUUAAUAUUUUAUGCAGGUAUUUAAACGUUCGAUGUGACAGGGCGAAAAAUUAUAAGGCGGGAUCUAAACAUGGCCUAUAUCAGUUGGCAUCGCACGUUUACAUCCUCGAGCAGUAGCACUGCAUGUCUGCAUGGCAGCUGGAGCAUCACUCGCCGGCAUCUACGUGCGCUUGAGCGAAUGCGUCCGGCAAUAUUAUGGAGUAAAAGAUUGCUUAUGUUGCCCCUCUUUGAUCAAAAAAUAGUUGGGUGUUUGGCUUAGGUAAAGUUGGUUUUAAAUUUUAGAAAUAAUUUUAAGGACCUUUCGGAAAACACAAGUACACAGAACAACCAGAACACAAGUAGAAAAGGCCACAUGAACCAGCUUUUAUAGAAAAAAACCAAAACAGGGUCACAACCACUUGAACGUUCACUGGAGAGGAGAGAUUCCCCAUCUAAAUUUCCAUUAAGGUCCUGUUUAGUUUUAAAGUUUUUUUUUUCCAAACUUUCAAUUUUUCAUCGCAUCAAACCUUUCAUACACCACUGGUGGACAAACCAUCUUUGGUCGGUCGACCAAAUCCCACAAUAGCCCUGGUUCCAUUAAAACCGGGACUAAAAACGAUUUUUAGUCCCGGUUAAAAAAAUUUUGAUCUUUAGUCCCGGUUGGUAACACCAACCGGAAUUAAAGAUGAUUUUUAGUCCCGGUUCAUCCCCUGUCAGAUGUAUGUUAGGGGGUCGAGGAUCUUUAGUCCCGGUUUAUACUACCAACCGGGACUAAAGAUUACCACUUUAGUCCCGGUUGGUAAAGAUCGAUUGAUCUUUACUCCCGGUUGGUGAUACCAACCGGGACUAAAGAUCGAUCUUUACUCCCGGUUGUAGUUAUCAACCGGGAGUAAAUAUUUCUCUCCCACAUCUGAUCGGUUAAGUCCAAACAGAUAGUUAGAUAAGAUUGGAAAUCCCCUCUAUUCCUCUUCUCAGAUCCAAUCCUCUUCCUCCUCCUCUCCCCUCUCUUCCUUCCCUCCUCCCCUUCCUCUUCUCUUCCUCCCCUCUCCUUCCUCCCAUCAGCCGGCCCUUCCUCCUCCCCUCUACUCCCUCUUCCAUCAGCCGGCCGACGGCGGGCGGUGGCGGCGGGCAGGAGGCGGGUGGCGGCGGCGCGGCCGCACGCGUGAAGGCGGGCGGCGGGCGGUGGGCGCGCGCGUGGAGGCUGGCGGCCGGCGGGCGGCGGCGGUGGGCAGGCGGCCGGCGGCGGCGGCUGCUGCGCGCGGGCAGUCGGCUGCUCGUUUGCUUUUUUUUUUUUGUAAUUUGUGUUUCAUUGGAUCUAUAAUUUUUUAGAUGUUGUGAUUCAUUGCAUCACAUGGAUCUGAGAUGUAUAAUUUGUAUAAUCUGUGAUGUAUUUAAUUUGUGUGUAGUUUUUUAGGAUUUGUGAUGUAUUUGAUCUGUGUGUAGGAUUUGUGAUGUAUUUGAUCUUAAUAUUUAGGAUGUUGAUUUGGAGAUAUGCAUCCCAUUUGAUUCGGGAGAAAAUACAGGGAUUAACACUAGCCAUUAGCAAAUCAACAAUAAAAUAAAAUAAAAAAGAUCUCGAGGUCUUUAGUCACCAACCGGGACUAAAGAUUCCCCCUCUUUACUCCCGGUUGGUGUUACCAACCAGGACUAAAGAUCGAUCUUUAGUCCCGGAUUCGUAGUCCCGGUUAGAAAACCGGGACUACAAAGGGUUCUAAACCGGGAGUAAAAAGCAUUUUUCCACCAGUGCACACACAAUUUUUCUAUCACAUCGUACCAAUUUCAACCAAACUUCCAAACUUCAGUGUGAACUAAACACAGUCUAAAUAAAGAACAAGAGAUUACACAGCAGUAAUUCUAAAAAAAAAUUACACAGCAGGAAGUUUUCUAGCGGAGUUUAGCGAAUCUGCCAUUACAUAAAAUCAAAUACAAGAAGAUAAAUAUAAAGAGGUGACGUGUGAUUAAUUGAGUUUUACUCCCUCCAUUCCAAAAUAUAAGACACAACCACUCUAAACUCAAAGACCAAAAAACCAUUAUUAUCACCUCUUUGUUUGAAUAAUCUUAACUAAUACAAUGCAUGCACCCAAUAGAAUUAAGCAUCUUGAUUUAAAAACAAUAAUUUAGAAGAGAGAAUAUGCUAUUAAUUGUCAUGCAUACAUGCACGCCUUAUAUUAUGAAACACCUUUAAAAAGUAGUUGCGCCCUAUAUUUUAGAACAGAGGGAGUAAUAUUUUAGAAUAACUUUCAUAUAAAAAGUUUUCGCACAAAAUACAUCGUUUAGCAAUUUGAAAAGCGUGCCAUGAAAAUCUUAAUCUUCGGCCAAGUUUAGUUCUAAAUUUUUUCUUCAAACUUUCAACUUUUUCAUCACAAACUUCCCUACACACAUAAAUUUUCAACUUUUUCAUCACAUCGUUUCAAUUUCAACCAAACUUUCAAUUUUGGCGUGAACUAAACACAACCUUCAUCUAACUCUUGUUGAAGGAAAGAACUGAAGCUUAGUACUAAACUUGUCUUGGGAAUGUAGGAAUCGAUUUUUUUAAGGGACGGAGGGAGUACGUUCACACAUUACAUUAUUGCAGCUCUGCCUCCACUGUACUCCUCCAUUGCACACCUGCCAGAAAUGCAUGUCUAGCACGCAGUCACGCACACAUGUAGUAGUACAACCAGACAUUCCAUGCAAAGUAUAAUCCCCAAACUGCCUUCGUUCGAGAUUCCAGCGACCAGCGGUACAGAGCGCGGAACUGGCGUUGACCAUAUUCCGAUCCAUUUCGAAUGCCUAAAGAUCUGACCACAGGGUGACAGGGGGGACAGAGAUCAGUUGGCCAGGAAACCACGGUGUUAACUUCUCCUGACGUGGAGUUCUCGGGCCUUGUGCGAUCUCAUGUGUUCAUCUCCGUUUUUGAGCAAGUUUAAUAGUAUAGCCAACUAGAAUCUCUAAUUUAUCUAUAGUCAAUUUAAUAGUUCAUUCAUACAAUAGUUACAUACUACACUAUUAAUACUUGAUCCCACCUAUCAUAUACAUACUGUGUUUUGAAGUCCGUGCUACAGCUGGCUACAAAUCUGUAGCCAACUGCUCUUCUCUCUCCUUAUUUACUACCUCCGUCCCAAAAUAAGUGCAGCCGUGGAUAUCCGUACCCAACGUUUGACCGUUCGUCUUAUUUGAAAAAUUUGUGAAAAAAUUAAAAAUAUUUAGUCACACAUAAAGUACUAUUCAUAUUUUAUCAUUUAAUAUCAAUAAAAAUACUAAUCAUAGAAAAUUUCAAAUAAGACGAACGGUCAAACGUUGAACGUGAAUAGUGCAAAACUGCACUUAUUUUGGGACGGAGGGAGUAUCUUCUUAGAAUAUGUUUAUAGCCGGCUUAUAGCCUGCUAUUGUACCUACUCUAACUAGCAAGUUUAUAGUGUAGCUAACUACUGACUUUGAAUAAUUUAUAGUCAAUUUAAUAGCCAAUUCAUAAAAUAGUUACAUAUAAGUAUAUACUACGUAAUUAAUAUUUGGUCACACCUAUCAUAUCAUACACAUGCAUUUAGGAGUUUGUUCUGCAGUUGGCUACAAUGUAGCCAGCUGCUCUUCUCACCAGCCAUCUUCAACCCUCCAUGUCAUCAAGUAUCCAUAACAUUUAAUACAUUGACAUAUAAGAAAAAUAUGUGAUGCACUACAAGAAAAAUACUCUGUAUAGACAUUUUUCUAGUACUGUAGAGGCACUUAUCAAAUGCCUUUACAACAAUGUAGAGGCAUUUUAAAAAAUGUCUAAUAAGUGUCUUAUGGUGAAUUGUCUCUACAAACGAAGAGACAUUUUAUAAAAUGUCUAUAAGAUGGUAGAGGCAUUUUUUAGAGACACUAAAUUGUACCGCAAACAUAUAAAACCAGUCCAAAAAAGAGAAUAAAAUAGUUUCCUUGCUUUUGAUAAGUCUUGAACUCAUGAUCUUUUGGUUAAAUCAUUUUAAUCUUCGAUACACUAACCAACUCAACUCCAUGUCAUUACUUGUAUACUUGUUCCUUUAAUUACUUAUAUUUAGUCGUUUAGUACACAUUAUCAUUCUAAAAAGUGUCUCUACAUAGUUUAAAAUGUCUCAACAAAAUGCCUUUACAUAUUAGACGCAUUUUAUAGUGCCGAAAGAAUGCCUCUACAAGAUAAAAUCUAACAAACUGAUAUAAAAAUGUCUCUAGAGUAAAAGUUUUCUAGGCAAUUUUUAAAGUGUCUCUAUAAAGUGUCUCUACACUAUAAAACUUCUGAUUGUAGAAGCAAUUUACAAAAUGCCUCUACAAAAGUGCCUCUAUACGAGGUUUUUGUUGUAGUGAUGAGAGUUAAUAAGAAGAGAGGUAAAAAGAUGAAGAUACCAUUUCUCGUAAAGAAACAUCUUUACACGAGAACCAAGAAUAAAAACAAGGGGAUUAGAUGUGAAUUUAAUUUGAAGACAUCAUCCAUUGGAUAUAUAGACUCUAUAUAUAGUGUCUAUAUGACAUGGUAAGUAUGGAAUAUAGUUUCUGCUAUUGUGUCUUCUCUAACUACUUUACCGAAUUAUUAUUGCUGGUCGCCAACGCGCGGAUCAUUAUUAUUGAUAUUGUAUACUACUCCAUAUUUUAAAGUUUAAUAUAUGUUGAAUACAUAGGCUAUUUUCUAUACUAUAGCGAUUUAGAUUACUAACUGUUUUCAGUUUUUUUUUAAAAAAAAAUCGUAAUUAAAAUAAUAAACAUCAUAUUUAUUUAAUAUUGAAUUUUGCAGUUGCUACAUUUAUUAAAAAACUAUAUGUAAUUAAUACCUAACACAUUAUUACGAUCUACAGUUGUGAUAUUAUGAUUUAUUAGAUCAAUGACUAGAUUUUUCUGAUUAAUGUGAGAGCUCAUAGAAAAUGUUAGGUUAGUAUAGGUAUAGAUAUAGAUAGAUAGAUAGAUAGAUAGAUAGAUAGAGGGUUAAAAGCUAUUUUUCUUUGUGGUGGAGUUACGGACUGCAAAUCCAUGUCUUAGCUAAAUACAAAAGACGCCCAUUUUUUUUUAAAACAACGGCAGAGCUUGCCAUUUCACUGAAUAAAGAAGGGAGCAAUAUUUACAUGUAAGGAGAAAAGUAAUAUUUACAAAGGCGACCGGGCACUAAGGCAACAUCUCUGCUGAGCGUUUGGCUUCCCGCCGUAGCCCAAGCUUUUGCCUCAUCCUUUAUCUUUGCGAUGAGGUCGCAGUGCUUAACUCUUUGUUUCGGAAGAUUUGUCGGUUUCACUCGUUCCAAAUUUCCCAGGAGAUUAGGAGGAUUAAGGAUAUAAUUCCAAGUUUUGGUACAGUGUGGCAUGUGGCAAGAAAUUCCCACCAUUCAUGAACCGUGGUCGAUUGUGUCCAGCUUACCGGCGCCAUGGAUGCACAGGUUAUCCAACUGGCAAUGGCAUCCCAUAUUUUCUUGGUGUAUCUGCAUUGCAUUCCACCAACAGGUGUAUAGUAAUCUCGUCGGUGUGCCGACAUAGCGAGCAAACUCCAUUCUUCUGUCAGCCCCGGGUCGCUAGUCGGUCCGCCAUCCAAACCCUAUUUUGAAUGAUUAACCACGCAAAUGUCCAUAUCUUUGAUUUUGUGACGAACCCGUGCACCAUCCAACCGUGUCGGUGAGAAAGGUCGAAUGGAGCCCGUACUGACGACCCUGAUAGGUGAACAGUUGCACGGGGUUGCACCCGCGCGGUCAGUUCCAAACCCUCUAGUUCACCUUCUCCUCUAUAAGAGUAUAUACACAUGUAUAUAUAGUAUAAGAGCGCACGCGCCUAUAUAUAUAAUUUUUUUAGGGUGAAUAGCUAAUUUAGUCCCUCAAGUUUCAGUGAAGGCUUAAUUUGAUCCUUCACGUUUCAUUUUGUCUAUAUAGAUCCUUCAAAUAUUUGUUUUAGCUUGAAAUCAUUCUUGGGUCCACUUAAUAUGCCAUAUGGCUAUUUCUAGUCAAUAUUUCUAUUAGAAAAUGUCCUUUUUGCCCAUAAUUUAUAUACAUCUAUACACUAGAAAAUAGAAAGCCAACAUGAAUAAACAACAUUACAGAUCUACUUCCCAUUAUUUCAACAUGUGCACAUGAAACUUAAGCAAUUGCUAUCGUAUACACUUGCUAGUACAUAAUUUUUUUCGUUUUACAUAAUAUACUAUGUAUUAUCUAUAAAAAAUUCAAGCAUGCAAUUUCUCUCUUAUAUAUGUGAAUGAUGAGGGGUAUAAGUGUCAUUUAUGAAGAGAGUUGUUGGUUCAAGGAUAAGUUUGAACUAAAAUGAAAACUUGAAGGACUAAUAUGGAUAGAUUGAAACAUCAAGGACUAAACUGAGCCUCAGAUAAAACUUGCAGGACCACUUUGGCUAUUCACCCUUUAUUUAUGUAUAAAAAAUAUACAUCUAUACAGAAGUUUAUAUACGACAUAUACAAACUUUGUAUAUGACGUAGACAAAAUUUAUAUACAUGCGCAUUUAAAAAAUUUAAAAAACAUCACGUAUACAAAGUUCGUAUACAUAUAUAAAAAGUUUGUAUACGAGUGUAAACAAACUUUGUAUACACAUAUAUAAACUUUGUAUCUCGUACGUAUAGAAAACAAAAAAAACCCAAAAAAGGAAAAAAUAAAAAAAUACUGAAAAGAAAAAAAACCAAAGAAAACCGAAUAAAACAAAGAAAAAAAGUGAAAAAAAGUCCCACGCGCGGCGCGGCGUCCGCCGCCCUCCUCUCCGCGCGCGCCACCUGUCCAUCCGCGCGGAGGGAGGCGCGCGCGGACAUCCGCGAAUUAGCAAUCUCUUAACCUGGCAGCCAUAUCGCCCGCCGGUCAAACCCGCCCUCUUUGUUCGUCGACGGCUCGACCUCUUGUUGCUUGUGUCACCUCCUUUUGUCUUCUACCCGAGAUUUUCCAUAGAGAAAACGGCCCUCACCCACGGCCACAGCCACGGGCCGUAGGUGUCAGUCGUGUCACACACAAAAAAAAAAAAAGUUCCACCCACCCGUUGUCUUCGCAUUUCAACCCUUAAUAUCCGUUUGCCUAUAAAUACUCUCUCUGUAGGUACAUCUCUCUACCAUCUCUGUCGUCCAACCUCUUAGUUUCCUGCUUGGUUUUGAUCGAUUCAAGCUAGUAAACGCUGAUCAUGGUGAACGUUGCUCGCUUGGAUCAGGCUGACGGCGCUGCGUCCAAGAUCGCCACGGCGCGGGCGCUGGGGGCGUUCGGCCUCGCCACAGCCUCUCUGGCCAUCAAUCUGGCCGCGACACGCGGGGCACCGUCGUGCUUCGGUGACAGCGCCUGGUACUACCACCUCGCUCUCGUGGGUUCCUUCCUCUCCGGAGUGGCCCAGGUGGCCGCCGCCGUCUGGGUCGCCGACGACCCUCGCGGCCGCCAUGCCGUCGGCAAGAAAAUCAUGUACCCCUCUAUUGCACCCCUCCUCGUGGCCGUCGGCCUCACCGGAGCGGCUCUGCUCUGGUAAUAUUUCCAGUUUUCCACCUUGGUUCAUCUACACGUACCAACACCGACAUCGCCGCCUACCGCGCCAGCUUCUCCCCGCAGGAUCGGCGCGAAUGUAUCUGUUAACAACCCUCUCCUUCCAAACUCGGUAAUCUCAAGAACAAUCCAAUUCAAUACAAUCUCAGGAAAAUAGAAGAGGAAUUGAAGGAGAAGAAGUAGAGGAUGCUUCUAGAAGUGGCAGUGAGGAGGACCAUGGAGAGAGAGAAGGAUAGAGAUCGACGAGGUUCAACCGAACCAAGCCGCCGCCGCCGCCGUGGCCGAAGCCGCCGAUUCCUGAUCUGUUCGAUUCCCCUGGUAAGAGUUGUCCUGUUGUUUUGUAGCUUCACCUUGGACUGGCCUGGGCCAACAUUAGGAGAGUUGAUGGACUGGCCCAUUUGGCAGCCCAGCCAGGACCUUAACAGUAUCUUACCUGUUUGAUUUGUGUGAUGUUGCUUUCUUGAUGUUUGCUGUUUGGGUCAUCGAUCGUGCUUUUGUGUAUCACCUCGAGUAUCUAGUAUCUACCAUCAAUCAAUCACGCUGUUUCCCUCCACUGCCUGCUGUUGUUGUGUUGUUGAUCAAUGCUUGGAUUGAUGAAUAUGUGAUGCAAAUUUUGAGUCACUACGGUAUACUCAAAUCAAACAAAAAAAUCAGCUAAUUUGCAGAAGAGUGUAUUUGGAAUGUUGGAGUACCCCGCGAAUUGUGAAGCCGGUGGCGGCGCGGCGACCGGCGAUUAUGGUGUUUGUGAUCACUAAUUCAACAUCCACUUCAUCGCUGCCGCUGGCGGGGCUCCGGCGACGGUGCGCACCGUACGGCCGGCCCGCCGCCGCCGCCUUGUCCUCCCUUGCCCCUUGCCGCUGUCAUGUGAUGGCCAAAAGGGUUCUUUUUGGUGAUUUUUCUAUCCAGUUUUUUAAUCAAGAUUCUGAUCCAAUUGUUUCGAUUUUGGCUGAAAGGUGGGCCAUAAGUGGACCCCACAUGGCCAUAGGAGAGUACUACUAAUAGUAGGAGAUUACUGGAGAAAGAGAGGAGACAUCACAGGGUCCCCGAGACUGGGAAAUUUAACUAUUUGUAACUCUCACAAUUAACGAUUUGCCACAUCCUAUCUAUCACAUGUAGACUCUUAUGUGUCUAUGAUAUGUGGGUCUAAUAGUAAAUUGUUAAGCUCCACUGGUAAGAGUGGCAAAUAUUUAAAAGCCCCGCGGAGACUUGCGGCUGCGGCGGCCGAGAGGGCCACGGCCAUGGCGACCUCGCCUUCGCCCUCGCCCUCGCCCAAAAAGUCUCUAUCUCGCUGCUCCGGCUUCCUAACUACAUCCUCUUACCUCCUCUCUGCCUCAAUUCGCUAGAUCUUGUGCAGCGGUGAGGAAACGACGGCGCGCCAAAUUUUGCUCGGCCACGAUCCGAUCACUGUCGCCGGAAGCCGUCCUCCGGCCACCCCCUCGCCGUGAACCUGCGCCGGCGGACCUCGGCCAGGAUCUGGUCGGCAUCGCGGCUGUGGUAUUGCAAACAGAUUUGUGGAUGCUAUGAUGGCCGUGCGCCGUUCAGCCGUUGACUUGUAAGAACACGGCAGCCACCUCUUCUGAUUUUAGUGGUUCAUACAGGUUAUCAUCUGCUUGCCCUUACAAUUACAUAUGGUUACAUACUUACAUGCAUUUUGGUGGCUGUGGUCAUGUUGUGAAAGAAAGACAUCAGUCAACAGGUGCUUAAGGGAAUUUCACAGUGUGAGCGAUAACCUAUCAGAAUUUGAUUUGAUAGGGCAGUUUGGUAUGUUGUGUGAAAGCUCUUUAAACAAUUGUGCAGUUGUUUGGUGCAUCAUUUUCUGUCUUCUGGUAAUUGUGAAUCACUGGCAUAUAUAUUGAGGAACCCAACUUUUGUAUAUUUGCCAGUUUCUGUAUUUUUCACAUGUGGAGAGACUGGUGUGUAUGACAGUUUUCCUGGCAUGUCAUGUAAUAAUCGGAAGAUUUGUUAUUAGGAGAGGGAUGCUCAAUCUCCUUUCUAAUAUUAGGCUUUUACCGUUGCUUGUGUGCAACCAUCAGCCCUUUUCAGACUAGUUAUAACCAUACCAUUUUGUAUAUCAAAAUUUAUGACUAAAUUGCACUAAAUAUUCGUGAUUUAGUGCAUUGUGAUGCUGUGACUGAAUCUGAAAAUUUGGCAGCGAGAAUGAAUAUCAAGUAAUGUUGUGCCGAUUUUGCUAUAGAUUUGUCGUGUGAUUUUUUCUCUUGGAUUUGUCUUUUUUAGGCUGUUCGAUAAGUGACAAGAUUCGUGCACAUAUAGCGCUGGGAAUCCGCAUAGGAUUCAGUCGGGCGGGUUAGAGGCGCUAAUUUCUUUUUUUUUUGCGCUCUAAAAAAUUGAUAUGCACGCUGUUCUCUCUCGUUCUCUCUCAAUUGAAACUAAAAUAAAAAUAAAAUACAAAAUUACAGUCCUAUAUAAUAAAAAUUACAUUUGUAAAUUCAGUUGAUAUGACAUGUAAGUGCGUACUGUAAUUUUUAUAACAAUGUUGUGUAAGUAAAUAUUUAUUUGUUAUUUUUAAUAUAUAAAAUUACAGUCCUAUAUAACUAAAGUUAUAUUUGUAAAUUCAGUUGAUAUGACAUGUAAGUGCACUGUAAUUUUGAUAACAAUGUUGUAUAAGUAAAUAUCUAUUUGUUAUUUUCUUUAAAAUAUAAAAUUACAGUCCUAUAUAACCAAAAGAGUAAAGUCCAUCACCGGUCCCUAAACUUGUACCGUUGUGUCAUCCCGGUCCCUAAACUCGCAAAUCGACCGUUCAGGUCCUCAAACUUGUUUGACUGUGUCAUCCCGGUCCCUAAACUUGUAGAUCACUUGUUUAGGUCCUCCAACUUGUUCAGUUGUGUCACCCCGGUCCCUAAACAGGACGGUCUAAAAACUUUAUAUCAAAAAAUAAUUUAUAACUUUUUCAUAUGAACUCUAAUGAAGACAAACUUUAUAUCAAAAUUGUAGCCUUCGACGUGACUUACAACUUUGUAGUUGAAAAGUUUUUGAAUUAAAACUGUUUUAGUCCCAAAAUAUUGUUGCAUGUUUAUAUAUUUUGAAAUUUUAAUUUUAAAAUUACAUUUUGGGACAAAAAAUGACUUAGAAUAAAAAAACUCAACUACAAAGUUGUAGAUCGAGUCGAGGGCUACAAGUUUGAUAUAAAGUUUUUCUUCAUUAGAGUUCACAUGAAAAAGUUAUGAAUUAUUUUUAAAUAUAAAGUCUUUAGACUGUCUUAUUUGACCCAGAUGAUAUUCAAAUCCAAGUUUAGGGACCGGGGUAACACAACUGAACAAGUUGGAGGACCUAAACGAGUGAUCUGCAAGUUUAGGGACCGGGGUGACACAGUCGAAUAAGUUUGAGGACCUGAACGGUCGAUUUGCGAGUUUAGGAACCGGGAUGACACAACGGUACAAGUUUAGGGACCGGUGAUGGACUUUACUCUAACUAAAAUUAUAUUUGUAAAUUCAAUUGAUAUGACAUGUAAGCGCACUGAAAUUUCGAUAACAAUGUUGUGUGAGUAAAUAUCUAUUUGUUAUUUUCUUUAAUAUAUAUAAUUACAAUCCUAUAUAACUAAAAUUACAUUUGUAAAUUCAGUUGAUAUGACAUGUAAGUGCAUUGUAAUUAUGAUAAAAGUAUUGUGUAACUAAAUAUGUAUUUUUAUUUUCUUUUGUAGUCUGUUGGAUGUAAAUUUAAGGGUAGAAAAAAUCUAGGUGAUUUUUUCAAAGAAAUCACCCGACAAAUAGAUCAUGUUGUGCAUAUCCCCGCAGUCUGGACAUGAUCCAAUUAUCACAGUGAGCUCGGCCCAACUAAACUUGGGCUGACUUGGGCAGCUAUCCAUAUUUUCAUGGGCUGACUUGGGCUUACAAAAAUCUCCAAAAACGAUGCCCAAAGCUUUAAUGGACCAUAAAGUGGCGAUCCAGUUGAGCACGAAUAAAUCGCGUGGUUGAGGUUCGGAGUUUAAUUCUCCGACCCCUGUCUAUGCAAAACAUUUCCAUUGUUUGUUUCAAAAAAAAAAAACAUUUCCAUUGUUUGGAGGCAAUAAGAAGAGCUCCAUGAUACAAAUGAUUUCUUUUUUUUUUGAGAAACACAGUAUAAACGCAGGCGCUCACAACGUGCCGGCAUAUCUUGAGAUUGACGAAGUCACCACAGCGAGCACCCGUGUCAAAUCUAGGAGGCUGUCGACGGGUACGUCGCCUAACUAGGAGGCUGUCGACGGGUACGUCGUCUACCACUGAAAGAAUAAUUAGCCGUAAAUGCGAGCACCCGUGUCAAAUCUAGGAUUUGAACCCAGGUGGGCUGGUUCCACCACAAGGAACCUAACCAGUUGAGCUAUACUCACUUCGCAUGAUACAAAUGAUUUCAUCUGAGCACGUAAGGUUGCUUCUACAUAAGGUUUUGUGUUACCAUCACACUAUAUCUCACGAAAGCAAAUUCAAGUUGAUAUAAAACUUCAUUUGCUGAAAACAUCUGAAAAAUGUAAGCGUGGUACUGCAGGUCUGCACCUGCCAUCGGCCAUAUUCGAAUGAACACAUUGCAGUUGUAAUCCUCGGCGAUGUUGUUGUAUGUAUGAUCUGCCGUGGUGAUAUUAAUGGUUUCUUCUGUUGAGAUUAUAGACAUAUAAUGAUUUAAUCUAUUCCAUAAAUAAAUCAUGACAUUACAGAUGAAAACUAGCAUGAACACACCAUUAGAUCUACACAUGUAAACUACACAGUAUAACAUGAACAGAUCAAAUAUGCGCAACAUAUUGAACACGUACCGAGGUGACGGAAAGACCGGCUGCUUGGUCGAAACUUUUCGCAGGUGUCUACGAAGGCACGAAACACGCGAGCGAAGAGGAAGGCGAGCCGUCGCGAACGAACAAGGAGCAGUCGCGCGAAGCGCUUCCCAAAAACCUUAUUGCCGCCUUCUCCCGGUGCAGGACGUCGAAGGCAGAGGUUCCAGAGACCUGCUCUCCCGAUCGCCGGUGCACGCCGGCAAGCGGGAUGGAGUAGUCUACGAGCGACGGCGCAGUACAGAGUAGGAGGCAAACCCUAGAUUGAUUUCGCGUGUGUUGCGUGAAGACGGCAGGUCGGUUUAUAUAGAGAAGGGUCGCUUGAUCAGGGCGCCUGCACGAUCUCUACUGCGCGUAACCGAACCGGAUAAGUCGCGCGUAACUUAUCCGGACUCCACGCCGUUUGCACGCACCGGAUUUUUCGGAACGUUUCCAAAACAAAAACGAAUCCGAAUUUGCAGCAAAACAAAACUGCAAAAGGAGGCUGCAUCUGCGUAAGGGUGAGGAGCCAAUUUUUCGGACCAUUCGACGCGUACGUCGUGCACGCGCGCCGCCUGCCCGGCCAGGCGAGGCGAGCGAGCGCGCGCGUGUGUUUCCCCUCUUCUCUCCACCACACAUGCUUCAAGUGACUAGGAGGGCAUCCUCCCUUUUAAGGAGGUCCCCCUCUCCUAGAAUAAGCAAGGUGGUACUAAACUCCACAUGCAUGCCAUCCCAUGAGGUGGGCUUUUGUGAUUUUCCAAAGAAUUAAUCUUCGAGUGGGCUAAGGCCCAUUCAUUAAUUCCAACAAUCCCCCACCAAAUCUCAAAAUCCCACUGAGAUUUGCCUUUUCCAAUAUACUGUUUAUAUACCAGCGGUUCGAUGGAGACCAAUUAAGGUUGAGCAUCCACCUAGAACUCCAAGCUACACUUACUCACAACUUGAACAAUGGACUACGCCUUGAAUUGCAAGUCUUGUGCAAGCAAGUUUCACUCAAAGUCUUACCUGGUACUAGACCGUCUGUAGACUACCCCUCGGGUGGAGCGUAUAAGUCAUACUCCUAGGUCUUUAGUAAGCUUCCUAGAAGAUUCACCCAAAAUCUUUAUAGACUGCGACCAACAGUCAAGCUCACAAAGGUGAGUUCUUUCAAGAAUGCUCUGCAGGACAACAUCUUCGCUAAUUAAAACCAACAGAACUCAUUAAGGCAUAGCCAACCUGCCUUGCAGCUCACGAGAGUAUAUGCAUCUUCACUUGGAGAGGGUAUAUAUAUUGGUACUCUCCUCUAGUUUAUUAAUGGUUUGUUCUUCCCAGGAUCUAAUUCACGGGAUCUCCGAUCACAUAGACUGGGUUACCACCAUAGUAUAACUCACAUGGGUCUCAAACCCAUCUCCUUCGAUGCAUUGUCUAUCACAUUUCGUGAUAGUCCCUUCGUGAAGGGAUCUGCCAGAUUUCUCGCUGUUUGGAUGUAAUCCAACGUUAUAACUCCUGAGUUUCUUAAUUUCCUGACAGACUUCAAUCGUCUUUUCACAUGUCUAGACGAUUUCAUAUUAUCCUUAGAACUAUUCACUUUGACAAUUACCGUUUGAUUGUCACAGUUCAUAAGGAUAGCCGGCACCGGUUUUUCAACAACAGGCAGAUCCAUUAAUAGAUCACGCAGCCAUUCUGCCUCAACAGUAGCAGUAUCCAGUGCCGUUAGCUUUGCUUCCAUGGUUGACCUCGUCAAAAUGGUCUGUUUGCAAGACCUCCAUGAAACAGCACCACCACCCAGUGUGAAAACAUAUCCACUAGUGGCUUUGAUCUCAUCCACAUCAGAGAUCCAGUUAGAAUCACUAUAACCCUCCAGUACCGCAGGAUACCCAGUAUAGUGAAGCCCCAAUUCCACAGUACCUUUCAGAUAGCGCAUUACUCGCUCAAGCGCACGCCAGUGAUCAUCUCCCGGAUUAGAGGUAAAUCGGCUCAACUUGCUUACAGCAAAGGAGAUAUCAGGCCUAGUUGCACUAGCCAGGUACAUCAACGAGCCAAUGAUUUGGGAGUAUUCCAGUUGAUUCCUAGCAAUUCUCUUGUUCUUGCGAAGCAACAAGCUAGGAUCAUAAGGUGUUGGAGAAGGCUUACUAUCAAUGUAGCCAAAGCGAUUCAAGAUCUUCUCCACAUAAUGGGACUGCAAGAGUGUAAUCCCAUUCUCACCUCUAAUUAGCUUAAUGUUUAAGAUAACAUCAGCUACUCCCAAAUCCUUCAUAUCAAAAUUUUGAGACAAGAAUGAUUUAACCUCAUUUAUCACCUCAAGAUUUGUCCCAAAUAUCAGUAUGUCGUCAACAUACAAGCACAAAAUAACUCCCUCACCCCCACCAUGGCGAUAGUACACACAUUUAUCUGCCUCAUUGACUGCAAAGCCUGCAGAUGUCAAUGUUUUGUCAAAUUUCUCAUGCCAUUGCUUAGGAGCUUGUUUCAGACCAUACAAAGACUUCAACAAUUUGCACACUUUGCCUUCUUGACCUUCAACUACAAACCCAUCAGGUUGAUCCAUAUAGAUCUCCUCAUCCAGCUCUCCAUUAAGAAAAGCUGUCUUAACGUCCAUUUGAUGAACGAGAAGACCAUGUGAGGCUGCUAGGGAAAGUAGCACACGAAUUGUGGUCAAUCUAGCAACAGGUGAGUAAGUAUCAAAGAAAUCUUCGCCUUCUUUCUGAGUAUAGCCCUUAGCAACAAGCCGAGCCUUGUACUUUUCAAUAGUACCGUCAGGCCUAAGCUUCUUCUUGAACACCCACUUGCACCCCACAGGUUUACACCCAUAGGGUCGCUCUGUCACCUCCCAAGUCCCGUUAGCGAUAAUGGAAUCCAUUUCACUACGGACAGCCUCCUUCCAGUAGUUUGCAUCAGGAGAUGCAUAUGCUUCUGAAAUUGACUUAGGAGUGUCAUCCACGAGGUACACAGUGAAAUCAUCACCAAAAGACUUAGCCGUCCUUUGUCUCUUACUCCUUCGAGGAGCUUCACUGACAUCCUCCUCAGAGACAAGUUCAUGUGUAUGUUCAGUUUGUUCUGGUGGUGUGAUUGAACUGGGAAUUAUUUCAGAGGGUUGGUUCGAACCACUAUGUGUAUCCUUCAUUGGGAAAAAGCUCUCAAAGAAGGUAGCAUCACGAGACUCCAUAAUUGUACCAACAUGCAUGUCCGGUACCUCGGAUUUAACUAUUAAAAAUCUAUAGGCAAUGCUAUGAUGAGCAUAUCCCAGAAAAACACAGUCCACAGUUUUAGGUCCAAGUUUGCGCUUCUUCGUUAUUGGUACAUUGACUUUCGCCAAGCACCCCCAUGUGCGCAAAUAAGAAAGUGAUGGUUUUCUACCAAUCCAUAUCUCAUAUGGUGUUUUGUCCUUAUUUCUGUUAGGAACUCUAUUUAACACAUGAUUUGAGGUCAACAAUGCCUCCCCCCACCAUGCCUUAGGCAGUCCCGCGGUGUCCAACAUGGCAUUCACCAAGUCAGUCAGUGUGCGAUUCUUCCUUUCAGCAAUCCCAUUAGACUCGGGAGAAUAGGGAGGCGUCCUCUCAUGUAUGAUGCCAUGUUCCUCACAGAAUAAGUCAAACUCGUUCGAGAAAAACUCUCCACCACGAUCAGACCUAAGCCUUUUUAUCUUUCUGUCAAGUUGAUUUUCAACUUCUGCCUUAUAAAUUUUAAAAUAGUCUAGAGCCUCGUCUUUCGUUUUCAACAAGUAAACAUAGCAAAAUCUAGUAGCAUCAUCAAUCAAUGUCAUGAAAUAUCGUUUUCCACCCUUCGUCAACAUCCCAUUCAUUUCACAAAGAUCUGAAUGUAGGAGUUCUAAUGGUGCUAAGUUUCUCUCCUCGGCAGCCUUGUGAGGCUUGCGAGGUUGCUUCGAUUGCACACAACUAUGGCACUUAGAACCUUUGACAAUGGAAAACUUAGGAAUUAAACACAUGCUGGAAAGCCGAGACAUCAAGCCAAAAUUAAUAUGACAUAAACGUGAAUGCCAAACAUUAGCCUCAUUAUCCAUACUGCCACAAAUAUGGUUCACAGACUUAUUGCAGAAAUCAGAAAGGGAAAAGCGGAACAGGCCUCCGCACUCAUAACCUUUACCAAUAAAAUAUCCAUGUUUAGACACGACUACUUUAUUAGACUCAAAAACCAACUUAAAUCCGUCUCUAGUCAGACGGGAGCCACUAACAAGAUUCCUGUCGAUAGAAGGGACAUGCUGCACGUUCUUCAGCUGCACGAUCUUUCCCGAAGUAAACUUCAGAUCUACCAUGCCAACACCAUGAACAGAAGCAUGUGACCCAUUCCCCAUUAGGACGGUGGAACCCCGUGCGACCUGAUAAGAAGAAAACAAUGAGAUGUCAGCACAAACAUGUACAUUGGCCCCAGUAUCAACCCACCAAUUAGUAGAUUGAUUAACUGAGAAAACAGUAGGUAAAUUACCAUACCCGCUUCCAUCUCCAGUGUUGCCAAUGGUCACAUUAGCAGACUUAGAAGUCUGCCCUGCAGGUGCCUUCAUCCCCUUGCGCUGUGGACACUUCCUAGCCAGAUGACCAACUUGGCCACACACAAAGCAAGUCCUCUCAUCCUGAUUAGGAUUGUUGUUGUUCUUCUUCUGCUUCUUGAAGUUGGUGGUCUGCUGAGCUUUGUAUUUCCCCUUGCUCUUGUUCUGGGCCUUGUGCACAACAUUGGCACUGGACUGCCCACCAUCGCCCUUAGACGCGGCAUCUUUUUCCCGAGCUUUCUCCUCAACAUCAAGAGACGCUAUCAACCCCUCAACGGAGUAUUCCUGUCUCUUGUGUUUGAGUGCAGUACCGAAACUUCUCCAAGAUGGAGGUAGUUUUGCAAUAAUGCACCCGGCCACAAAUUUGUCGGGUAAGACACACUUAAGGAGUUCGAGUUCCUUAGCCAUGGUUUGUAUCUCAUGAGCCUGUUCGACUACAGAACGGUUGUCAGCCAUUUUGUAGUCAUGAAACUGCUCCAUGAUAUACAGAUCAUUGCUAGCAUCAGUAGCACCGAAUUUAGUAUUCAGUGCAUCCCACAACUCCUUAGCGUCGGUCAUAUGCAUAUACACCUCGACCAGACGAUCGCCAAGAACGCUAAGAAUGCAUCCCACAAAGAGAGUAGUGGCUUCCUCGAAUUGCUUCUGCUGUUCAGCAGUAAGAACUCCUUCAGGUUUGCCAGUACUCACCCAGAAGCAUUUCAUAGCUGUCAGCCACAGAGUGACCCUGAUCUGCCAUCUCUUAAAAUGCACACCGGUGAAUUUAUCCGGCCUCAGUGCAUCGGCAAAACCAGCCAUAGUAAAAUCACAGUACCUAUAAUAAGGUUUUUGGAUUGUUGAGAUUAUAGACAUAUAAUGAUUUAAUCUAUUCCAUAAAUAAAUCAUGACAUUACAGAUGAAAACUAGCAUGAACGCACCAUUAGAUCUACACAUGUAAACUACACAGUAUAACAAGAACAGAUCAAAUAUGCGCAACAUAUUGAACACGUACCGAGGUGACGGAAAGACCGGCUGCUUGGUCGAAACUUUUCGCAGGUGUCUACGAAGGCACGAAACACGCGAGCGAAGAGGAAGGCGAGCCGUCGCGAACGAACAGGGAGCAGUCGCGCGAAGCGCUUCCCAAAAACCUUAUUGCCGCCUUCUCCCGGUGCAGGACGUCGAAGGCAGAGGUUCCGGAGACCUGCUCUCCCGAUCGCCGGUGCACGCCGGCGAGCGGGAUGGAGUAGUCUACGAGCGACGGCGCAGUACAGAGUAGGAGGCAAACCCUAGAUUGAUUUCGCGUGUGUUGCGUGAAGACGGCAGGUCGGUUUAUAUAGAGAAGGGUCGCUUGAUCAGGGCGCCCGCACGAUCUCUACUGCGCGUAACCGAACCGGAUAAGUCGCGCGUAACUUAUCCGGACUCCACGCCGUUUGCACGCACCGGAUUUUUCGGAACGUUUCCAAAACAAAAACGAAUCUGCGCAAGGGUGAGGAGCCAAUUUUUCGGACCAUUCGACGCGUACGUCAUGCACGCGCGCCGCCUGCCCGGCCCGGCGAGGCGAGCGAGCGCGUGUGUUUCCCCUCUUCUCUCCACCACACAUGCUUCAAGUGACUAGGAGGGCAUCCUCCCUUUUAAGGAGGUCCCCCUCUCCUAGAAUAAGCAAGGUGGUACUAAACUCCACAUGCAUGCCAUCCCAUGAGGUGGGCUUUUGUGAUUUUCCAAAGAAUUAAUCUUCGAGUGGGCUAAGGCCGAUUCAUUAAUUCCAACAUCUUCUACCUUAGCUAUGAUGUUCAGACAACUUUGAAUAGCAGACUCGCUGAUAAGCACAGCAGCAGUCAACAGUUGAUGACGGAGAUAAUGAAGCCUCACCUAGCCGUCGUCACCCACUAGAGCUCAGCUAUCUCGGGGCCUUACAGGAGAGAGGGAAACUGUGGUGGCGGCCGUGUUUUUUUUUUACCUUUUCCACAUGACUUUUUUUUAUUUUUUUAGAGAAGGGUAUUUUUUACCCGGCCUCUACAUCCAACCGGAUAUAUGCGGUCGUACCUUUUCCACAUGACUAAUAUGAGAGCCCUACUGUUUUUCUUUUUUUUUUUAACGGAAAACAGCACUAGAUGCCUUUUCACUUAAUAGAGUAGGAGAAAAUACAACCCCUAGGAGCAAAGAAAAAAGGAGUAUGGUUUUUCUGAUUUUUUAUUAGAAUAUAUGAUUGCUACAUAAACGUCACAUAGUAUGUGUGUAGACAAAGUCAAAAUAAUAAGUUAAAUGAGACCGCUCAAAAGAACCACCGAGAGAGAGUUAAUUUGCACUGAUUUUGAUAAUUAGUGUGUUAUACCUAGUUUUAUAAUUGAGGGAUACUAAUCGAUCUCAGCUUAUAGGUUGAGGGACGCAAACACUUAUGCCAAUAGUUGUUGCCAUAUCGCGCACUUGAUACUUAAUAAACAUAUUAGUUUUUUAAUCAUUUGUUAUGAAUUAAAUAAAACCCACUAAGAGCAUAUAUGCUCUUGAAACUUGAAAGAAAGAAUACUACUUAGCUCUUUUCCUCUUUUUAGGAUUUUUAUGGUACAUUGUACUGCAAGUAUAUACUGCCAUUAUAUUUGAUCUAACGGUGUAAAUUAAUCUGAUCUUCUUCCUAAUUAUCCUGCAGUAUAAAAUUGAAUAGGGUAUAUUUGUCUUUUCAUCUAUUUAUAUAGGGGGUAAUUUUGUAAAUUCGCAUUUUCUCAGUUAGAUCCGGUCGAUAGGCGUCCAGUCAAAGCAGCCGCUGCCGGCGCGCAGCUGCGGCAGCUCGCAGCGGCAAGGGCAGCCGGCAGGUGGCCGAAGCAGCAGUGCGGCAUGCAGCAGCAGCAGGGCAGGGAAGCCCCGCGGCGGCAUGCGACAACAGCAAUUUUAAAAAAGUGAAGAAGAAUUUUAUAAAAAAAACAUAUGUACCGAUUCACAAGUGUUUGUAGAGAAUUAGACUUGUUAAUUAACUUAAUUAUUGCUUGUAUCCAUUGUUAUUGAAGCGGAUGAAGCCUGAAUCAUCAAACAAGUCUGAUGCAAACAUGCAGUAGUUAUAUAUUAUCACGGGCUCAGGCUUUUAAUACUCAAGAACUUAUAUCGCUAGAGAGACUGACGGAAGCAAGUUCCUGGAAGCGGACGGCUGCUGCUGGGCCCGACGGCGGCGAUAGUGCUGCGCACGAGAAUGGCAGUAUGUUGGCUUUGCUCCCGGCGGAGGCUGUAUCGCUUCCGGCGAUCGGCAGCGGCGGCGGCGGUGACGGCAUCAUUGCGUACGACAGCGGCUGGGCGGCGCUUGUGGGACUGUGGGAGCCACACGCGAGACAACGUACGGCUGCCGGCGACCCGACGUACCGCGUACGAGGUAGACUGAAUUGGUAUCACGAACGGAUGACGAGAUCCGAAAAAAUACCACCGAUGGAAAAAAUGAUCUCAAUUAAAAAUGGCUAAGCAAUCCUUUUUAGAUUUUUAACAAAUACCAAAUCUACCCUUUCAUAUACUGCAAGUAUAUACUUUAAGUAGAAUGUACUGUAAAAGUCCUCUUUUUUUCGCCCCCCAUGUAGUUAAGCUGGCAAUUAAUCGUUUUUUUGUUCAUACUUCAUUUGAAAUGUGUAGGAUCAACAAAACACACACACUUGUGAAUCGACAAACGCAACCUGCAGGUGCUAGGCAUGCACCGUGAAUUAUUGUAUAUUAAUCUGUCAAAGACUCAAAGAGCAGCAAAGGAAAUGUCUCAUAGCCUUGUUAAACAUAACUUUGCCAGGAGAUCUGUAUGUUUUGAUGCACACAAGCUGUUAUGAGGGUUGCUAGUUGCUACUCACUUGCUCUUACAUGCACUUCUGCUGGCAUAAGAUGAUAGUCUGGUAGAGGUUCUGUUGUUGAGCCCUGGAAGUCUGGAACACAGCCGGUGCUCAGAAGAAUUUCAUAUCACUACGGCGUAUCAGGAUUUGAUAGAGCAAUUUGGUAUGUUCGGUGAAAGUCAUACACAUUUGAGCGAUUGUACAGUACUCAGAAAUUGGUGUUUUAUAUCCUCUGGUAGUUGUGGAUCACUGUAUUGAGGAAUCAACCUGACGUAUAAUUGCCGGGUCUGUAAUUUUGUAUAUGUGGAGACUGGUGUGUAUACCAAUUUUCUGCUGGAAUGUCAUGCAAUGAGGCAUGGGCAAAUUCUCUUGUAGGGCUUUCAUCGUUCAUUGAGUUUAACAUAGCUAUAACAGUACUGUUUUAUAUGACAAAAUAACAGUACUAUUUUCUAUGACAAAAUUUGUGAUUAAACUGUGUUCACGAUUUCUUUUGGUUGUGCAGAAAACAAUGAACUGAUAAAACAUCCUAGAGUUAGUGAAUUUUGUGCUGGUGUAACUGAUUCUGAAAGCUUGGCAGCAAGAGUUGUCAAUUUUGCUAAUCAAGUUAAACUUGUGCUCGGGUGUACAAACCUGACAAGCAUUAUGCUUGUGAUUAACUGAUAAGUAAUGUAGGCAUGUAGCUAUGCAUAUAGUUUUUCGGGUGAGUUGGUGGUGGUAUGUUUGGUUUAGAACUGACUCGGUGGAACAUUUUCAGACGUCGCAUCAGCUGUGCGUUUGUUGGGCCGUACAUUGACGUACUUGGGCCGUGGGCCGUGGGCUGAUCUGUGGAGAGAACAUCCUGGUCACGUCUAUCUCUUCCCCCUCGGCCAACACCGAGUUUUUUUAAAGAGAAGGGUAUUUUUUAUCCGGUCUCUACAUCUAACCGGAUAUAUACGACCAUUGAAAUAGGAAACUUAUCCCCACAAACAACCCAAUCUGAAAUUCGCGGGAGCUAACAACGAGAUGCAGGGGCCGGGGUUGGAGCUCGGUGGUGACGGGGUACACGUCCAUGGCGCAAGCUCAAAUUCAGCGGCAAGCAACUCGUCGUUGAUGAUCUGGUACGUACGCCACACCGCCUCCUUUGAGAUUGACUGCUCCGGUAUCCGGGAGGGAGGUGCGGACGUAGCAGGGGGAGAGGCGAAGAAGGUGGAGUGGACUGAGUCGUCAUUGCAGCCCGAUUGAGCCGCCGUGGUAGAGCAGCCAUGGCGAUCGAUCGCCGGCCGGGAGCGAUACAUGCAUGAUAGUCCCUCCGUUUCUAAAUAUUCGACCCCGUUGAUUUUUUUUGAAGUAUGUUUGACCGUUCGUCUUAUUUAAAAAAUUUAAGUAAGUAUUAAUUCUUUUCUGGAAAGCUAUGUUACUUCCUUGCUGGAAAUUAAACAGUGCCCCCGAGCGAAUACAGAGAAAGGAAAACAUGUGGUCCACUUAGUUUCUAAUAAGUCCAAACUAGCUAAGAAGAAUCAAGGGUGCAGCCCUCGUCGCUGGGAGAAACCACACGCGGGGUGGAUGAAGCUGAAUGUGGAUGGAUCCUUUGACUUGAAUUCAGGUUCAGGUGGUUUAGGUGUGAUGCUAAGGAAUAGUUCUGUCAAAUCUAUUUUUUCUGCUUCCGGAUUCAUUGAGCGCUGCAGCAGCCCAUUGGAAGCUGAACUGAUAGCCUGCAAAGAGGGCAUUAUUAUGGCCCUUCAGUGGACCUUGUUGCCCAUCAUUGUGGAGUCUGGUUGCUUGGUGGCGGUGAAUAUGAUCCAGGCUGCGAAAGAGGAGAGGUCUCAGUUUGCUCAUCUGAUCCGGGACAUAGGGAAUUUGAUCUCAGGAGACAGGGAAGUCUUAAUCCAGAAAAUUUAUCGCACUCAGAACUGCAUUAGCCAUUUCCUAGCAAAUAAGGCCCGUGCUAAACUCUGUACAGAGUUUUGGCCGGAUGAAACUUGUAAUAUCAUCUCACAAUUUGUUUGUGAGGAGGCUGCUUCUGAGUAAUAUAUUUCCCUUUCCCUGCAAAAAAAAAUAUACUUAUAUGUAUACAUAUAGUUUUACAUAUUUCACAAAAAAAAUUUGAAUAAGACGAACGGUCAAACAUGUGCUAAAAAGUCAAUGGUGUCAAAUAUUUAGAAACGGAGGAAGUAUGUCAUAUGUGUGCCGCUAUUAACACCUGUUGUUGCAAUCGAUCGCAUACACUGUUACUAUCGCGUAGGUUGGUUGGAUCAUAUUCCUACGUCGGCGCAGACAUGGGCGCCGCGCGACUGUUAGGGUGUGUUUGGUUCCCGGUCAAGGUUGGAUGGGAUAUGGCGGUCCAUAUUUUGCUGGAUAUGGCGAUCUAGUUUUUUGUUUAGUGGAGUGAAUAUGACGAUCUAGUUUUUUGUUUGGUUGUAGGGAUGAAAGUGGAUAUGGUGAUCCAUUUUUUUGUUUGGUUGGGGGAGUGGGAUGGAUAAGUGGUUGCAAUCACCCUUUCAUUAGAGGUGGUGAGUAUACCCCUCCAAAUUCUCACCAAAAAAAUAUCAAUAUACUAAAAAAUCUAAAUAGAAAUAAAAAAGCAGAAAGGAAUAAAAGGGAAAGGAGACAAAAAAAAAAGAAAAGGUCGCCGCCGCCUGAAGGUCUCCGCCCUCGCCUGAAGGUCUCUGCCGCCGCCCCUCGCCUCCUCUCUCGCCGGCAACCCUGUCGCCGCGCCUCCUCUCUCUCACCUCGCCACCUCGUAUCCUCUCUCCCCGGCCGCCGUCGCUCGCUCUCGCCGGUGCCCUCCCAGAUCCGGUCGUCGCCGGCUCAUCUCCUUUCUCGUCGCCGAGCUCGUCUCCUCUCCCGUCGCCGAGCUCGUCUCCUCUCUCGUCGCCGGCUUGCCCUAGCCGCCGAGCUCGCGUCACCCUAGCCGCCGCCGUCGAGCUCGCCUCCAUGGCGUCGCCUUGCCUGGCCGCCGAGCUCGCCUCGUGGUGAGAGGGGUGACGCGACCCACAUGUCGUUCGCCCCUGCUCGCCCGAGCGCUCGGGCGGCUGCAUCCGGCCGAAUCGGCCGGAUCCCCCCAUCCGGCAUCUAGGGGGAAUAUUCCCCUCCGGGCCGCCCUAUCCCACCUCCGCUCAGGAACCAAACACCCAAAAAAAAAUGGGCUGCCAAGUUGAGGAUUGCGGAUUGCGGUCAGGAGAUGGGACCCACCAUCCAAACACAGUUGAGGAUUGCGGUCGGCGGCCUCGAGAUGGGACCCAUAUGCAAGUGAGCGCCACCUUCUUCCUCCACACCCACCCCUCUCUCUCUCUCUCUAGUCUCUAGGUGUGUGAUUAAUAAAGUCAUUAAACCGACAUGCUAAGGGGCCAUCUGGGAAUUGGGACACAGGACUACUAUCAAAUGGUCCAAUUUGGCCUUAUUCUAUAUAUACUCUUCUCACUAAACAAACGCGAGUACUGUAUACAAAAGAAGACUAAAAAUGAUGUUUUUCUUAUUUAAUUUUGUCUACCAAUUUGUGCUCUGCUGACCUGGCCUGAGUGUGACGUUGAAGCUUGUUUGACAACGACCAUGCAUUCUGAUCGAUCUCUUUGUGAUGGGGUAACAUUAAUGUGAUGCUUCUAAUGUCCCUUAAUUUACCAAUCGUGGGCGCCGCGCGACUGUUAGGGUGUGUUUGGUUCCCGGUCAAGGUUGGAUGGGAUAUGGCGGUCCAUAUUUUGCUGGAUAUGGCGAUCUAGUUUUUUGUUUAGUGGAGUGAAUAUGACGAUCUAGUUUUUUGUUUGGUUGUAGGGAUGAAAGUGGAUAUGGUGAUCCAUUUUUUUGUUUGGUUGGGGGAGUGGGAUGGAUAAGUGGUUGCAAUCACCCUUUCAUUAGAGGUGGUGAGUAUACCCCUCCAAAUUCUCACCAAAAAAAUAUCAAUAUACUAAAAAAUCUAAAUAGAAAUAAAAAAGCAGAAAGGAAUAAAAGGGAAAGGAGACAAAAAAAAAAGAAAAGGUCGCCGCCGCCUGAAGGUCUCCGCCCUCGCCUGAAGGUCUCUGCCGCCGCCCCUCGCCUCCUCUCUCGCCGGCAACCCUGUCGCCGCGCCUCCUCUCUCUCACCUCGCCACCUCGUAUCCUCUCUCCCCGGCCGCCGUCGCUCGCUCUCGCCGGUGCCCUCCCAGAUCCGGUCGUCGCCGGCUCAUCUCCUUUCUCGUCGCCGAGCUCGUCUCCUCUCCCGUCGCCGAGCUCGUCUCCUCUCUCGUCGCCGGCUUGCCCUAGCCGCCGAGCUCGCGUCACCCUAGCCGCCGCCGUCGAGCUCGCCUCCAUGGCGUCGCCUUGCCUGGCCGCCGAGCUCGCCUCGUGGUGAGAGGGGUGACGCGACCCACAUGUCGUUCGCCCCUGCUCGCCCGAGCGCUCGGGCGGCUGCAUCCGGCCGAAUCGGCCGGAUCCCCCCAUCCGGCAUCUAGGGGGAAUAUUCCCCUCCGGGCCGCCCUAUCCCACCUCCGCUCAGGAACCAAACACCCAAAAAAAAAUGGGCUGCCAAGUUGAGGAUUGCGGAUUGCGGUCAGGAGAUGGGACCCACCAUCCAAACACAGUUGAGGAUUGCGGUCGGCGGCCUCGAGAUGGGACCCAUAUGCAAGUGAGCGCCACCUUCUUCCUCCACACCCACCCCUCUCUCUCUCUCUAGUCUCUAGGUGUGUGAUUAAUAAAGUCAUUAAACCGACAUGCUAAGGGGCCAUCUGGGAAUUGGGACACAGGACUACUAUCAAAUGGUCCAAUUUGGCCUUAUUCUAUAUAUACUCUUCUCACUAAACAAACGCGAGUACUGUAUACAAAAGAAGACUAAAAAUGAUGUUUUUCUUAUUUAAUUUUGUCUACCAAUUUGUGCUCUGCUGACCUGGCCUGAGUGUGACGUUGAAGCUUGUUUGACAACGACCAUGCAUUCUGAUCGAUCUCUUUGUGAUGGGGUAACAUUAAUGUGAUGCUUCUAAUGUCCCUUAAUUUACCAAUCGUGAUAGCGCUCGGCCGCUGGCAACAGUAUUCCUGAAGUUUUUCGCCAAUCAGGUGGUGAUGACCUUGAUCUGGUGUCCCUUGUGUUGGUCUAACAAUCCAUUUGUCGUAUACAAAGGCUCGUUUGUCAACUCGGCUUUGCAUAUCUUUAUGCGUGGGAUGUUUCCAGGAGUGCAUGCAUUUGCAUCGUACUUGACGUAAUAGAUCUCCCUGAUGAUUAUUGUACUGCUAAUAUAGUGGUAGUUGCAAUGUCCCGUGGUGUCAUGGUGAGACCGUGAGAGAGAAAGAUCUACGGAUUUUUUAUGUUUAAGUCUUUUAAGAAAAUAUAUUUUAUAAAUUGACCAUUACAAAACUUAUACUAGUAGAUAUGGGAUAUCCCAGGCCAAAUAUGCUGGCGCCGAACCUCAUCGCUAGUCAUUUUUGGUGUCAACCUCUCCCACAUAAGAAAAACUCGUUUUUCCUUCAAAAUCUUCAGUCCUAAUUCAUUUCCGGUAGAUUUUAUUUUUAAAAUAUCUAGAUGAGGAUAUGAUGUGGGUCCCUAGCUCUUUCCCAUCGCAAUUUUAUUGAUUUUUUUAAUCAGAUUUUGAUUUAGAAAAGAUAAUUGAAUUAGGACACAUGAUUUGUAAUUCUUUUCAAAAAGUUUGACAGAAUUUGGGUGCAAGGAGUGAGAGGGGGAUCGUACACCGUUAUCCCAGAUUAAGAUUUUAUAAAUAUUACUCCCUCUGUUUCAUAUUAUAAGUUGUUUGACUUUUUUUCUAGUCAAAUUUUGUUAAAUUUGAUUAAGUUUAUAGAAAAUUUUAGCAACAUAUAAAAUAUUAAUUUAUUUUCAUUAAAUCUAACAUUGAAUAUAUUUUGAUAUAUGUUUGUUUUGUGUUGAUAAUACUACUAUAUUUUUUCUAUAAAUUUGAUCAAACUUGAAUAGUUUAAGUAGAAAAAAAGUCGAACAACUUAUAAUAUGUAACGAAGGGAGUACAAUAUAUUGAUUUACCAGUUUUUCUAAAAUUUGACAUCAAAUCAAUAGGAGGGGUUGGCACUAAACCGAUUGGCGCCUCGGCACGAAGCAUAUUUGGCGCGUCGUAGACAUCCCACCUCCGUGCCAACGUCCUUAGCGCUGGGUACAUAUUUGCAAUAAGUUUUCUAGAUAAUUUCUUUGUAAAAUAUGUUUCUUAAAAGGGCUAAAAUGUGAAGAAAAUCAGACAAGAUCUAGCUAGAGAGCUGAUACGUGAGUAAUGCAUUACAGUUGCAAUUGCGAAAUCGCAAGUUGUAAUAUGUUUCGUUGCGGCCCUAAAACGUGUACCUAAAACGCUUAGAUAAACAAUUAGAUAAACGCUAGAUAAUCGACGUAAUAAUGAGGGUUCAACUGGAUGGAACUGGGCAGUGGGCACUUAAAAAAUUGUUUGAUUAGGACGGUGGGCCCUGUUCAAACUAGUAUCAUGUGUAGUACAAGUAGGAAGCUUCCUAGUACUCCGAUGCAUUGAUGAUUUUUUAGAUAACGGCAUUGAUGAUUUGAUGUGAUAGUGGCAGUCUAAAUGCCUAAAAAUCAUUCUUUUUUUUAAAAAAAUAGCUUUGCAUAUCAUAUUCGAGUUGGAUUGUCGUUGAAAAGCUGAGAUAAACCGGUGUUGCACAUCUCUGGUUGCCUAUAUAUACCCCAGUAACCCAGUUGGUGUUUCGUCAUGAGCAACGAAAACCCCAAUUAAACAAGUGCAAACCUGUCUUCUGUCCUCCACCUUAGAUUUUCCGGCCAGAUUCGACGAACUGAUCGAUGGACGCCGCCGCCGCUGCCGAGAUCGCAGCCAAGCUGCGCGUACUCGGCGUCUGCGCAGCCUCGACGGCGAUCACCUUGGCCGCCGCAGCCGCCGCCGCCGCCACAUGCGAGCCGCCGCGCUGUGCCCUCGGCAACAGCAUGUGGUACUACUACUACCUCGUGCUCUCGGGGACAUUCCUCGCAGGGAUGAUCCUGAUCGGCGCUUCCGUCUGGGUGUCCGACGACGACCCACGACGGCGGCGGGGUUGCGCCGGCAGCAAGUUGCUGUACGCCGCCGCCCCGCCGCUCAUCGUCGCCGUCGUCGGCCUAUCCUUGUGGCAGCUCUACACUGCCGCUGCUGGUAACUUCUGAUCCCGUACGUCUCGUCGGCCCGCGCCCUACAUCACUGCCGCGCCCGCCGCUUCCUCCAUCAGCCCAUCGGAGACAACACAAAUAGCUAGCCUAGUAGUUUGUUUCGUGCUGAUUGGAAUGUUUUCUUUGCUAGUUGGCCUACGUUGUUUUUUUUAAUGAAUCGGUGAGCCGCCAUUUUCAUUGCAUAGAGGAGAAGUAAAUUUUACAAGUAUGAAGGAAAACUUUACUUCUUCUCUAUUCAAUGUAGAAAUUGAUGGCUUGUUCAUUCGUUAAAAAAAAACAGCAUCUACGUUGUGCUAGAGUAUACGAAUAGAAUAGAAUCGAAUUGUAUCCGGUUUGUUAUGUUAAGAUAGUAUUAGUUUUCUUAUCUAUCUCUCUGAGUUUGCUAGAGAUCCGAUGUAUGUAACCUAUAUAAAUUGGUCCCUGAGGCUCAAUAUAAUGUGUGUAAAUAUAUAUUUACAGUAUUUUCUCUCUUCCUAUACUACUCAAACGUGUUGCGCUUGUGUGUAUCACCAUAUAUCCAUUUGAAUAUUUGGCUAUAUUAAUUCCAGCUGCUCAAGCACAUUUGGGAAGAAUUAAAGGGAGUUUUUUUUUUUGUUUUUUCUGAUUCAGCCGGCCGGGUGAUAGGUUUUCAUUAUUUUGUUUCUAUGAGAGAGAAGCAAAUUAAAGGGAGGUUACCUUACCAUUUCAUGGCGGCAGAAGCAGAAGUAUUGGUCGUUGCAGCACGCCCGGAAGCGUGGGCCGGCGCUCCGGCGGCCAAUCGGCGACGGCGGCUGCGGAAAGUCGCGUCCCACGGGACAACACCUCCGAAGAAUGUGUUUUCCGGGGCAGAAGAUGGUGGACAUGACUGGAACGUGGCUGCUAGUGUUUCGGCCUUGGAGAAGAGAGAAGACUGGGCGGCGAGCUCCGGUGGCGAACGUGAUAAGGUGAGCGCGUCAAAACGUGUUCCCGGAUGAGAAGGUUCCAUUUUUGUGGUUAGUUGAUAGAGACGAAGCACGAUAGGAGCUCGACACAGGUACGGGGAGAAGGGGAAAAAAUAAGGGGUAGCCUCACUGUCUGGAAGAGGCUGGGUGGCGCGAGGAGACGACGAGCGAUAACCAACGGCGGCGACGGAUCGGCUUCACAGUCGGCCUUGGCUGCGGCUAGAGAAAUUCUUGGGAUGGAAACGAGUUUAGCGUUUGGAUGUCUUGCAGAGAAAUAGAGAAGGUGAUUUAUUUAGGCUCCUCUGCUCAUUCACUUUGAAGGGGAGGAGGACUAGAGGUGGGGAAACAAAUGGCACUGUUUGGUGGAGCUUGUCCCAGCUACAGCUUUUCCCAAAAGCUGCUUCUACUAGAAGCUGCCCCAAACAGUCCACAGCUUCUGAGAAUCUGUAGUUAUAUAUUCUGAAAAAUGAACUAAGAAGCCAGAAGCUGAAGAAGCUGGGUUUCAGAGCUUUUCCAGAUUCUCAGAAGCUGAACCCAGAGCUUUUCCAGAUUCUCAGAAGCUGUCUAUCAAACAACUGCUUCUCAGAAUCUAAAACUCCCCAAACAGGCGGGAUGGCUAUGAGUAAAUGCAUGGCUGUUUCGGAGGCGGCUCGGGUGGGCACAUGGAUGGAGCAGCGCAGCGAGGCAACACGCGGCUAUCGCGCGGCUGCCUCAGCUGGGCCAACAACAGCUGUGGGCCGGCACGGCCCAAACAGAGGGAGAUGGUUGGAGGAAGUGAAAAGAAAGGGUGAUGGGCUGGGUUGAGGUAGAUUUCAGCCAAGGGAGAGAGAGUGAUCCAUUUGAAUUUUUCACGAAAUUUUUGAAUAGAUCUUUGGUAGGAUAUUUUCAAAUAGUAAUGGAUGGGAUUUGGUAUCUUGGAAUAUUUGCAUGAUGACUCUGGGCUAACUUCAAAUAAACACAAACUCUUCUGAUGGUUUUGAAAAUUUAAUCUGUGAUAUCUCGGAUUUGGUUUGGAGAGGGAAACUAAAAGAAGUUAUGCGCAGGGUGGAAACUUAGAGGGAACAAAAGGAAUAUAAGAAUUGGGAGGCUCCAAUUCGGAAGAAUGAAGAACAACGAAUUUAAAGAAUUUCGCAAAAAAAUUACCCUGAAAAUUCUAGUAUGUUACAGUAUUCUAGUUUUUUUAUUUUAUAUUGGUAUGUCUGGGAUAAAUUAAAAAUGAAUUCAUCUUGCAACGGAGGGAAUAUUAUGCUAUUUUCUUUUAAAAAAAGUUGCAAAAGGAUAAAUCAUAUUAAAAAUAAGUGGUGGUUAGGGGAAAUAAACUAGUACGGAAGAUAUGUGAAGGGCGUCCACCAAAGUGGAGCUCAAGGCGUCGGCGACCUGCAACACAAGGUCUCCUUGCUUAGCUCUCCAAUGGUGGCGUAGGUCGCAAGGACAUCGAGCGGUGGCAAGGUUGCUUGGAGGCAUGUAGAGAAAAAGAGAAGGAAGAUGUGAUGUUAUUGAUAUAUCAACUACGCGGAGCUUGUCAGCGAGAGAGUGAGCCAUGCGGAGGCAUGCGCAUAGGGCGGAGAGGCACGUGAACUCCACCGCCAGUACCGAGUCGCCGUCACCGUGCGAUUGCUCGCGGGAGGUGGCCAGCGUGGGCUCGGCCACGGACCCAACCCCUUACUCGAGCACGAGGCCAGGGAAGCAGAGCAGCGGGAGGCCUUGCAGUCAUGGUGGGUCACCGUGCAAUGUCCAAGAUGGCAACGACGCUCUUGGACUUCCUUCGAGCCCUGGGCGGAUCUAGAAUAUAACAAGUGGGGGGCCUUGGUCCCCGUUCAAUUUUGCAGUAAGCGAGGGCAACACUUUUUACUUCCUUAAUCCACCUGAUCGGUAGAUCCUUGGCCUCCACUCAUGCUACUUUCUGCCUCCGCCGGCCGUUUCGCCACUUUCGACCGCGUCAUCCAGCGGUCCAUCAUAUCUCGCUAGUCGCAUACGUUGCCGCCUGUGAGGAGAGAGAGGGAGAGGUGGGAAUGUAGGACCCACCACGUAUUUCUUUUCAUAUCUCACUGACAUGCAGGUUUUAUUUGUGGAAACCACUUACCAGACCACUAAAAGAGUCUAUUUGCACCGGUUUUCGAAGAGGGAAAGCGCUAUAUGGAGGAAACUAUGGAUCGGUCGCCCGAUCCCUCUAAACAAAUUUGAGUGGUCAAAUAUUGCAGUUGACCAACAAAUGAAACAUUAAGUUAUAUACGGUAAACAAAAACAAAAUCAACAACUGAAAUAUUUUAAAAAAAUGUGAAACACGGUAAAAAUACACGUUGAAACAUGUCGCUAUCACGUAUAAAACAAAAUAUAGUCAUGCGUUUUUCUUUCAUCAAAAUAUAGUCAUGCGAUAUCUUAUUGUAAAUAUUUAAUUAUAAUGAAUACAACGAUGUGAUCGGAUCAUAGAUUGGGUAAGUAGUUUAAGAGAAAAAUCAUUUCGAAGAUUACUAAAAUGCAUAACUGAUGGAGUGUAGAUAGAUGAGAAAGAGUAGUGUCAUGUACUUCUAUGAAUUUUGUGGAACACACUGAAAACACUCCCUGAAACAUAUGAUUAUAAUGUAUGAAACAUUCUGUUUUAACGGUUUGAAACAAAUAUCUUUAUUUUAUGAGAAUAUAAUUAUAUGAUAUCUUGUUGGAAAGAUUUAAUUAUAGCAAAUGCAACCGUGUGAUCGAAUAUAAAUAGUUUAGGAGAAAAAAUAUUUAAAGAGAGGAGAAAAGAAGAAAAAGAAACUACUUCUUUCGUUUCACAAUAUAAGUCAUUCUAACAUUUCCCACAUUCAUAUUGAUGCUAAUGAAUCUAGAUAGAUAUAUAUGUAUAGUACCGGUUGUUAAAAUUAGGUCCGCUUGCCUAGGACUUGAUCUUGGUUUGGUACCAAUCCAUAACGAUCAAAGUCGAAUCGCGAGCCUGAAGCAAAUUCAAUGAAACAACAACCAUAUAGAAAGGGCCAUAAACAGGAUAGUCUUGACCAAUUUGAAAAAUCAUUUGGUGUAGUUGAAAUAACAGAAUUGGAAGUUGUUCGGUCAAGUAUAGGAAAUUAAUAUAAGAAUGGAUAACUUUCUCAAUGGUUUAUUUUCUUUCUUUUAUUUAUCUUAAUAUUCAUUCCAUUUAGGCCAUUCCAAUGCUCGCAAGCAAGCACGAAAAAGCUUAUAUUUCUAAACGGAAACGCCCAAUACAUCGAAACUCAUUACCCAUGGCCAGUCGAGAAAAAAAAUAAAACAAACAUGGUUUAGCGUAUUCGGAUUGUAACCAAGCAUCCUGGGUUCUAUACCAUAUUCAACACUAGAGCAUGUAGCCGAUCCUGGAUACAGAACUAUAUAAAGUGUGCAGUGAGGGAUCUUUAUUGGUAGCCAGUCUUUCACUUCCGCCUCUCCACUCCCAUGUCUUUCUUGGUCGGACCAACCCAACCGGCGAUUU